UUAGUUAGUAUUUUACUAUUUCAACCCAUCAAAACCCUUGAAACUACUACAAGUCAAAGAAGACAAAGCUGCAAUAAAGAAUCCCUUCACUUUCUUGCUUCAAGCAGAUAACAGAUAACUGCAGCAGCUCUAAAUAACGACAAGCAAAGCUCCAAUAGGAAAAUCGGUCGAAACCAGCAGUCUCCUAAAAUGCUAUUCAUUCAGGCCUAUCAAUUAUUAUUGAUGUCUCAGCUUCAAAAAUUUUGCAAAACCAAAAAUCUGCUGAGUGUCAGCAACUUCUUUUUAAUAACGCAGAUCAAAGUACUGAAGCUUUACAUCUCAAACAAACACGGAGAACUAUAUUCUCAAGGGUAAUAGCCGGUGAAGGUGAAUCCCCUCCCAAUGAUUUCACCUGCACAAUACCAUGCGAAGCACUCAAGUCCAAACAAUGCAGCAACUCCUGCAUCCUCAACCUUUAGCUCCUGCCUGUUCUUCCAUAAGUUCUUCACGUAGUCUAGCUCCUUCCAGAAUGCUUCAUUUCUACCCGGGAUACUGUUCACCAACAAAAUUAACACUUGUCAAAAACAAAGCUGAUUUCAUCCAGUUCGCCUCACUAAGUACGGCCACAUAUUCACACAAGAUGAUUUCACUGCUACUUCUGCACCACCCUAGCUACCCAGUACAGAAUAGGUUUUCCUUUCACAAACUGAAUUUAUCACAUAAUACGUAUGUUAUGACCAGUAACAGACACAUAAAGGAUUCGUAUAUUGUAUGCUAAGCAUCCUUCCAUUGUGUAACACAUAGAAUAAAUGUUUUUACUUUUUUACUAGAGUUUCACAGCUAGAAACUUGAACACCGUUAUUGUACUCAUAAGAUCCUGAUAUUACUACUGAUUCAAGUAGGAUAUUUGAUAACGAGUAAGACUCAAAUAAAAAUGCAAAACCAAGCAAAUCACUGAACACAAAGUAUCGUCAUCAAAACAUCAGUUCAAAUGAUUUGGAGUGAUAUCAUUUGAAGGUCCAAAGAAAUACAAUCGUCAAUUGAAUCAUCAAUAAUCAAGAACAAAAUAAUGUGUUUUCAUCUCUUUUGAAGGCACAAGAUUGACUGAUAGAUGUAAAUUAUACUUCAAUGUCAAGAACAAAACAAUCCAUUCAGACUUAGACGAUGUCGAUAAAGUCGAAGAUGACAUUUAACUAAACCCCUCGAAUCUGUAAAAUAGGGGUCAUAAAACAAAAUUCUCAACAAGAUGUCUAGAUUAAUCAGGAACACAUCAUUCAAACAGACUUGUAUCAAACACAUAACAGAGUUAUUGGCAAGAAAAUUAAAUAAAAGGCUGACAAACAUCAAGCCAACACAGCAAGGGCGGAAGAAAAACAACACCUGGCUAGCCGAGUGUAAAACAAUUGCUUAGACAAUUCAUUGCACUUCUCAACACUAGCGGGCUCCUGAAUGUAUUUCUUGUUCUGUUCCAGUAACUGUUUGUAGUAGGUAGUGCCAUGCUUAGACACAAACUUAGACGCUUGGCAAGCUUUAGAUUGCAAUUGCAUUAAUUUGGACGCCAUCAGUUCCAAAACCCUGAAAUAAUUAAGGAAAGAGAUUCAAAAUGGCAGGUCCUACAAACCCUAGAAACAGGAAUAUAAAAUCUCAUCUGCCUCAAUAUCCAUAAAAUCUCGCAGCCAUAAACCAUUCCAAAGAAGCUAUAAAAGCAAGAUCCCCAGCGCCACAUGAUCGUAAGUUAAAACCACAAGGAAUCAAGCGAAAACAUCAAAGAAAGAAGGAACGCAAGGAUUGAACAAGAUCUGGAGAUACGAACAGCCUAACUACGAGACUGAAUCAAUCUUGUGCGAAUCGAAGGAAGUGCAAAUGAAAAUCGAAAUUGAGAUUGGGAGUAGAACGAAUUGGUCGCCUGAGGAACGAGUUACGGCGUCGCCGCUAACAGUUGUUCUUCGAGGAGUUAGGAUGGGAGAGCUAGAAAGUAGAAAGAGAACCAGGAACUAUAAUUGAAGGCAGUGCGGAAUGGGGUUUCUUUAUUUUUUUUUGGAUGAAGGGGUUUCUUUAUUUAAGUUGUGGCCUUGUGGGCUGUUUUGGGAAUUUGAGAAUUUUAGGGGGGCUUUCCUUUAUUUUCUCAAACAUUUCGUUUGCAAUAAGGCAUUGGGGAUUAUUAUUCGACCAACUAGUAUUUAAAAAUAUUUGCUCUAACUAUUAUAAUUAUAAAUUGGUUAAAGGCAUUCUCAUCCAAAAUUAGGUUAAAGUGUGGGGAGAAUGAGAUAUUUCAUUUAGCAAUUACUAAAGAUGUAUAUAUGUAAUUGUCAAUUUAGAAAUUUUGUUAGAAAUAUUUAAAUUAAAAUUUUGAUUAAUUUCGAAAAAAAGAAAUUUGAUUAACAAUAUAAAUAUAUGGAUCAAUUUUCUAAGUAAAAUAUUUAAUUUUUUAAAAUUUUAUAUAGNNNNNGAGGUGGUUUGGUAUGGAUGAUAUCUGAUAUGAUAUCACUCAAUAUCGUGGUAUUCAAAAUAUCUCUGUAUUUCGAAACAUACUACUGUAUUCAAUACUUACCGAAAAGGUAUCACCUCUAAUAUUACUCCAUCUGAUCCAAAUUGCCCCGGGUUUUGCUUCUGAUUACAUGCCACCAAGGUGACACGGAGCCAUUUUUGUUUUCGCCAUCAUUAUUGCCCCAGUCAUUUCUUUGUCUGUCUUCUCCUCUUUCCCCGGGCCGACAUUAUAACCCUGCUGAUUAUUCUCCACCGCCGUGACUUUUACCAUCAGACGGCUAUUCCUCUCGCCGUUGACGCCAACUACUACUCCUAAUCUCUUAUUACAUCACAAUAUCACAACCCACUUACCUAUCCACAGUUCGCUCCGGCAAUGUCAUCAUCACUGACGACAAAACCACGGCGGAGAGUCCAAUUCUAAACCGGAAAAGAACAACUUAUCAAUCCAAGCCUCUGGCUUAGUCAUCCCUGGAGCCCGAAUUUGCUUUCAAAAACCCCAACUUGAAACAUUAUAAAAUUGUUACCCCCAAUUCCUACCAACUUCCCAAUGCGAUUACAUGAGAGCAAUGGACACUAAACGGCGAGCCGGUCGGACCGGAUUUUCAUCCCAGGCAGAGCAGCUUUCAAUGAUGAAAACGAUGAAGUUCGACAGUGAAAAUCUCGGUAAAGAGGAAGAGAAGAAUAAAGUGGGGUUAUAUUGGUAAUUUUAUAUUACACUAUACCAAAUAAAAACAUUUUAUAUAUCAAAUAUCAAUAUUAUCCAGUAUUGUAAUAUCUCAAAUAUUAUUACAUACUAAAUUAUCUAAAGGGAGAUGGCUUAAUGGAAAAGACUUUGAUACCAUGACAUAUGUCAUUUUGUUAUUGGUUGUUGAAAUUUUAAAUUGCACAAAAAGCUAUGUAAACGCACUAAUUUUGCCUGCAUUACGAGAUGCCCACCAAAGAAAGGAAUUUAACCAUACUCCUAAGCCACGUUCACUCUUCGUCAUAUUUAAUUAGAUUUUUCAUAUCAUCUUUAAUUUGUUUUUUUUAUGAAUAUUUUACAUUUAUGUAUUUAAAUGUAUUUAUCAUGAAUUUCAUUACUCUCAUUAUAUUGUAAUAAUAUUAAGUUGUAAUCUUGAUAAUCAACCAACGAAAACAACCCCCGAGCUUCCCAACCCCACAAACACGUCCCUAACUAUGUUGCUGCCCUCAACAUACCACCAAAUAUCUCCACUCCCUCUCCAUUAUUGAUUACAACCGCAUGUGCCCCACCAACCUCACGAUCAACCGCCGCAACAUCACCCACACUACCACCAAGGGGCGGAUCCUUUUCCCUCAGAAUGACCUCAAAUUGCAUGAGUUGCUUUUCAGAUACUUCACUGAAGCGGUGGGAGACGUGUCCCCGUCAACUAUGCUGGUAAGGAUUUCGCAUAUGACCCACAAAAUAAUGCGUUAUCCUCGGCAGACCAUUAUAUUCUCAUUCAGGUGGCACUUGAUGUCAGGAAACCACUCCAUCGUUGUAAGAGGGUGUUGCUCCAUGGUGACGACAGGGUGAAGUGACAAUUCAGGUAUGAACGUCUGGAGAAAUUCUGCAACAUCUGAGGUGUUAUGGGUCAUACAUACAAGUACUGGGAAGUGCUCUUUCAGAUCCUGGCGACCUUAAACUUUUUGCAUCUGGGACGACUCAAUUAGGGUUCAACCUCGGAAUGCGCAAUUCAAAUUGGCAUCAAAGUACCUCAGCGAGAAGGCUAGGUCCGAUGGCCCCACUCCACAAUCCUCCCUAAUUUAUGAGCAACUAAAGUGGCCUCUAGAGAGCAAGGUAGGGCCUAUAUUACACAAUCUUGCACGGAUCCUACUCGAGUCAAUACAACCCCUCCAGCGCCGAUGAAGAUGAAGAUAUGUUGGAUGUGACGGACAAUGAAAAGCACCACCAAGAGGAGACACCAGACAAAGAGAAGUUCGCAGAGGAGCCCACAGGAAUGAAACCAUAAAAAUUGCCCAAGAAGGAGAGCCACAUCCUUACCCAAGUGGUCUAGGCAGGUCAACUAGAGGGGACCCACCCAUCAGCAAAGGAAAGCAACGGAAGUUGCAUGGCGGCAGUCGGCUCGACCAACAUUCCACCCCGACCGUUCGAUAGCAGUGCCACCGCCAAUGUUCUGUGUUUUGUCUCUUUGUCACUGCCAUUUUUUUGGGUUCUAUUUGGUGACGAUGUGAGUCUCUGAUCCAUCAAUAACCUUCGUUUGGAUCGAGUAUGGGAGGUUGGGUCAUCAGUAUUCCUUUUCUUUUCUUUUUUUAACCUAGUAGCAUUAUGUAGGUAUUUAUUUUCUCGAGUCUUUGAGGGGAUUGGUUUGAGGAGACCUAAGAUGUGGAGCGUAUGAUCUUGUCUCAUUGCAUCCCCUUGUAAUUCCGAUUUGGGUUACACCUCUCAGGUUAUUGCUCAUACAGUAUGUCGCGAAGGUCUCCCACUUAGACUGCAUUCCGCCCACACUCGGUCCUUCCGCCAUGGGGAAGGGGAUCAGCUUGUGCGGGUGGCACAAAGGUUACGUUUGGUGAAGUCACCAUCGGUCGGUGAAAAUUGGGGUGGAUCGAACACCGUCCAAAGCCGCCAGCCGCAAAAUACAAAAAGUUUGGAUAUGGGUAUGUUGCUCAAGACAGCGGGUUAACGAAAUCAUUUCGCCCGGCAUAAGGCCAACAAUAACAAAAAUUGAUAAACUCUCUUUCAUUGUUUUAGGUUGGCGCGCUUUGAAAUAUGGGUGAUAUUUACCGUUGACCUAACGGAUAAUAUUGAAUUUUUUUUGGUGGAUUCGAAUGGGUGAUAUUGAUAGUAGACUUAACAAAAAAUAUCAAAGUGCCUUUAGGUGGACUCGAAUCAUUUAUGAUUGCCUACAUACCAAUAAAUCGGGAUAAAAGUCCGUGUAGUUUGAAUUUGCAAAUUUGUUUUGUUUUGCAACUCGGUUAUACUCCGGUGCUCGGGUUUGACAUCUUUUAAAAAAUUGGGAGAUAUUGACCGUAGAGUUAACUAAAAAUAUUGAAUUUUGCCUUUAGGUGGACUCAAAUUAAUUCUGAUUGCCUACAUAUCCGGACCUCAGGAUCAAAGUUCGUGUAGUUUGAAAUUGUAAAAUCAAGAUUUUUUUCAACCCAUUUAUACUCUGGGGUUCAAGUUUAAAUUCUUUUGAAAUCAGAUGAUAUUGAACGUUAUAAAAAUANNNNNNNNNNNNNNUCUUUAUAAAAAUAAUGGAAGAUAUCAAAUUUUCUUUUUUGGUAGACUCGAAUCAUUUCUAAUAACAUAUGUACUCAUACCUCAGGAUCAAAAGCCGCAUAAUUUAACUUUGGGGAAUUUGAUUUUUUACUCAGAUUUUCGGUGUUAAUCUAUGCAACCACAAAAGACUAAAACUUAAUACUUCUUUGACUUUCACUAUGGUGAUUGUUCAUAAUAGUAAUUAUGAAGAAUUUACUAUUAUAAUAUAAUCAAUCACUUUUCGGAACUUCUCAACUGUCAUUCUAAUAUUUGGGUGUUUUUAGGGAUUUCAAAAGAAAAUAAAUUAUAUUAGAAUAAUUAAUCAUAAUAAUUAAUUCUCGAACGUUAAGUAUUCUGAAAUAAUCGCACGAUGUAUUUUAUGGAUCUUUUAAUUUUUAUUUGAUUUUUUGAAGUUUUUUUAAUGAAUAAUUACUUUUAUUUCAUCAAAAACCCAUAAUAACAAGACAUAACUCUUUCAACAAAUAAAAAAAAAUGGAAAGCUCGUCGCUUCUAAAAAACUCCAAGCCACAAGGCCAAAAGUAGAAAAGGAACAGAAUUAGGCAAUCUACAUAUUAAUACAAUCAAAUAACUUUUUCUCAUCAAUCCUGACAUUCACUUUGAAGAACACCUUCUCUAAAAUAGACUGAGUUUAGCAGUUAUAGAGUGAGGACCAUCAAACACAUUUUUACACCUUUCCUUCCAAAUUGAGGAAACCACGAGACACCCGAUAAAGCGCUUAACAUUAUACAAUUUUGAUAUACUAUUCCACAAAUAGCACGCAUUAGUAACAUUUUCAUCCCAGUCAAUUUUACUGGAAAAUUCUGGGAGAAGCAAUUUGAGAAUCCCAUGAGAAAAACUACAACAGAAAAACAUGUAUCCUUGCAUCAACUCCAUUACUGCAGAAAAUACGGGAGAUAUCAACCGUAAUCAUGCAAUUGGAAAGUUUUUCACGAAUUGCAAGUUGAUACUUGAAAAUAACUAACAGAUAACACUGAAUUGAAAAUUUGUCACUCAUUCUAGAUGAGGUUUGCCUAAGGCACAUGUUCUGCUAUGGUCUCAUGACAUCCCAGACGAUAGAUAUUAAAUCAGAGCAUGAAUGUAGCAUUCCAUAAGACAUUAUCAUUAUUAACAGUAACAUGUAGACUAGCAAGAUCACGCAUGUUUUUAGAAUUUUACCUCAAAUUCAGGAGUUUGUUGACACCUUAAGAGUCCACAAAUUCUUGUUAUUGAUUUUAUAGUUAUACAUCAAAGCAACCCAAAGGAAUCCUCCAUCAACAAACAACGCCCAAAAAUGUCUGAAAGUAUUCAUUGCAUUCCAUGAAUAGAGAUCUUUGAGUUCAACUCCUCUUUUUUUUUGAAAAAAGUCAAAAACCUUUAAGCCACUUUGCAGUCACCACCGUUGAGCUUGCCCCACAAAAAAUGAUUACCAAAGAUAUAAGUCGCAGCUUUCCAGUAUAAGUCAAACCUUUGGCCUUUCAAUUUUUGAAGUUAAGUUUUGAAAGAAAAUAAGAAAAAACUCAUUCACAGUGACAGGAUUCCAAAUUGAAGUACUUUCGUUAUAAAAAUGGAAACAUAAGCGUCAAGUCAAAGGAACAAAUCCCGCUCGUUCAUCGUGAGCAGUGGGCCAUGAAAAUCGCAACAGUUUUUGACUUCUAUUUCGUUACACCCACGAAGUUCUAACGAAACAGUGGGAAAUUACCUCGGAGGACAAUAACCCUUUUGAACUCAGUUUACAAGCGGGGGCAAACUGAUAAUUACCUUCUCAUCUAUGGAUUCCGUCCGACUUGUCAGUUCACGACACUGUACGAACGGUGUAAUUACCAUUAAGGACUUAAUUUAAGUCAUCUAAUGGUUGGUUUUAAUAAGGUCGGGAUAACUUUGUCUUUCGACCCCAUGGCCGAACUAAAACUAACCCUAGUCGACCUAAACUUCAUCCUCUUCAUUUUUUCGACUUUUCUACAGCCACUGCUGCUAUCUUAGGACCUCUCUUCUCUCGGUCUUCUUCUUCCAUCAUCAUGUCUGGUGAAGACAACGACCACGAGCUGUCGCCGUCCAGCAAGCGGCAGUCUCCCAACCUCUAUCCUCUCCUUUCUGUCUGUCCACUUCUAGGAGGACAAACCGACGCCACCGCUCCGGCCGAUCUACUCCUCUCGGGGAUCUUUUGCAGCAAAACGAAGGUAAACUCUCUCCCUCUCUCUCAAGAUCUUUUCUUAACCUAGUUUGGAUCUAACUCUUGUCUCCUACCCUUCGAAUGAAAGUCACGACGUAUGUGAAGAAAUCGGCCCUAUGGGGCUAAUCUGUCAGGCUAUUUUCUCUGAUGAAGUCUCUCGGUUCUAGUCUUACGGGCGAGUUGAAAAAGGUAGGUAUGUUCCAAUCGCUUUUUGCUCGAUUUCUGAUUUCAUCCAGCUCUUAACCCUAGCUACGCUUUUGGAUAGAGCAUUCGGGAAAGGGGUGGAUAAGACUACGAAGUCUGGGGACUCGAAUAGGUAGGAGAGGCGUCUGGAUUCAGCCAAGUUAGGGAAUCAAUAAGCAGGUAUACUCGAGCGGCCUCUUGGGUAUAAUUUCAAUGAGGUUGAGAGUGGUUAAACGUGAGGUUGAGUGUAGUUUAACGUGAGGUUUAGAGUGGUUUGUUGAGAGUCAUGGUUGCCAGGUUUGAAAGGUUAUUUGUAAGAGGUUUGAGAGUUGAUUGAGAGUGAUCUUGUGGUGAGGUAUAAGGUCUGUAACUUGUCCUUUCUUUUGCUUCCUUCCUUAGUUUUCACAUCUAUCUAUUUAUAGGCUUGCGAAUGGUAGAUUUAAGAAGAGUAGUAGAAGUGAAAUGAUAGAGAUUUGGGAGGUAAGAAACAUUCCCUCCAAAAGUCUAGAAUUAUCCAAAAUUGGUCCAGAACCUGAAUCGGUUAGCCAAUGGGCCGAGCAUCAGUUUUAACUCAAACUUGCAACUUUGGGCCCAAUCUCACAAAACACCUUUUUAACCAAAAAUCGUUCCCGUAAUCAAUAUUCGUUCAAUCGAUGGGCCAAAAUUCGUUGAUUUAGUUCGCAUUCGAUUUUUCAACAUAGCAUAACCCUCAUAUUCUUUAUCUAUUUAAAUCUUAAAUUAUUUGAAUUUUCUUUCUAUAAAUCCACCCGCACAAACAAACUCUAAAUUAAUUAAAAUAUUGGAAGAAGAAUAUUUAAUAGCUAAGUCCUAAGAGCAUAAGAAGAUUGAUUAGGAACUGGUCAAAAAUAGUUGGUCCAUAGCUAAUUCCUAGAGCAUAAGGAAGAAUGAUUUAAGUAAGUCUUAAGAGGAGAAAGAAUAUUGAUUAGGAAUUGAUCCGAAUUAGUUGGUCAAUAUUUAAGUCAUAAGAACAGAAUGAAGAAUGAAUAUUAACUAUGAUCAAAUUCUCAUAAUCUAAAACAUAAAUUGUUGGUUAGGCUCGAAAAAUAGAUAGAGAAACAAGAUCAAAACAAAAAGAGUAAAGGAGAAUCAGAUGAUGAUUAUCUAAUUUCGAAGAUCAAGGUUGUAUGUAGGCAAUGAUUUAGACAUUUUGAGGCAUAUUCCCGCGGUUGAAGCAGAAUAUCUAGGAUUAUAGAUUUAUUUCAAUGAUUCUAUAUAGGAAUCUGAAGACAUGAUAAAAAAAAAGAAGCUGGAGAGGAGGAUUUUUCAACAAAGGAAUCGUCAAAUCGACGAUUGAAGUUAUAUACCAUAUACAUAAAUAACGACAUAUUGAUAUCGUGUCAAAUAGGAAUAAAUAUCCUCAAAUCCCUCAUCACCUGCAAUUUAUCGCAUUCAGAUAACGGGUCUUCCGAACCCAUUAAUCACCGUUUUAAAAUAAGGACCCAAAUUCACAAUAAUUUUUGCCAAGCCAGCCUUAUUUUACAUGUCUUUGUAGACAUCUAAAAAAAUGGAUACAUUUUAACAGCUAACGAUUAGUUUAACGGCCCGUCAAAACAUAGCACCGUAUAAAACCCACUCUACCAGUUGGGAUAUUUACGUCUCCUCUGCUCUUUCUCCCGCCUCCGUUUCUUUUAAUUGCCCCAAAACCCUAAACCCUAAUCUCCAUUCCAUGGGCCGCCGGAAGCAGAAUACAAACAGUAGCAGCUCAACCAGCUUCCCAACUCCCCAGAAUCAGAGCACAAACCUCCAGUUCCAGGACGCCGACGAGGAUCCGGCCAUGGACAGCUCAAUUCCCGAUGGCUCCAUUACUACUGUUCCCACCGACUUGCCCAUUGCUAUGGACGAUGACUCUAUGUCUGAAGCCAAUGCAACUCUUACUGGCCCCGCUGACGAAGACGAGCAGACCAGCGCCGAUUACUACUUCGAUUCGUACUCUCACUUCGGUAUACUUCUAUUUCUUUUUCUUUCUUUUGCAUUGAGCUCUGGCCGUUAGGUAUUCAGAAACUGACAGCUUUCUCCUUCUGUUGCAGGUAUUCACGAAGUAAGCAUUUUUCUUGGAAAUCAUGUGAUUCUGUUAUUUUUUUCACGAAUCUGUUUGUGAUUUUAUCUUUUCUUCUAUGUUUGGGUUGAUUGAUUUUGGGGAUUGUGAUAAUCUGAACUCAAACGAUUGGGUUCUUGCUUGCCUAAAUAUCAAUUUGGUAGUGGUAGUCGAUAAUCCAACAACCAAGUUUGCACUUUGCAGGAGAUGCUGAAGGAUGUGGUGAGGACUAAGACGUACCAAACUGUUAUUUAUCAAAAUAAGUUCCUCUUCAAGGACAAAGUAGUACUUGAUGUUGGUGCCGGGACUGGAAUUUUGUCUUUGUUCUGUGCAAAAGCUGGUGCGGCACAUGUUUAUGCGGUAUGCUUUUCUUGUUCACUUGCAUUUGUACCUGUUAGUUGAUGAUUCUGUGUUUCUGUACAAUAUUACUCUACAAGGUAAGUAAAGCUAAAUGCUACUGCUGAUUUUUGGACUUGUAGGUUGAGUGCUCGCAGAUGGCUAACAUGGCGAAAGAAAUUGUUGCAUCAAACGGUCUUUCUGAUGGUCAGUCAUUUUUCUUUUACCGCUUCUGCUUUUGUUUUCUCUAUCUUGUUAGUGAUGCAGGUUUUUGGUUCCAACUCUCAAAUGUUGCAGCUUUUUAUAAUGAAUUAAUGUUGCAGUUAUAACGGUUUUAAAGGGGAAGAUUGAAGAGAUAGAGCUACCAGUGAAUAAAGUGGAUGUAAUAAUUUCAGAGUGGAUGGGGUACUUUCUCUUGUUUGAGAACAUGCUGGAUACAGUUUUGUACGCUCGUGAUAAAUGGCUUGUAAGUCGCUAUCUACCAUUUCUUUGUUAAUCGAAUAAUGCGACAAAUUUAUUAAAUUUGCCUGCCACUGUGUGUCAUCGAUGUGAAAAUUUCUCUUAAACUGGCAAGUUUAAGUUGGAUACUCAUUUGUUGUACUGAACAUGAAGGGAUACUGGAUGGGUUUAUACCGCAAGGAAGCAUUUCUUGAUUCGCUUGGUUUAAAUAUUCAAAAGAAACUAGUAGUGGACAUUGCUUGCAGUAGUGUUUUAUAUUCCUUUUGCAAAUGACCAUGAUAUGGCUCCUUGUAUCAUCCCAUUAUUCGCUCUUUCCAGGUCAAUGAUGGAAUUGUGCUGCCUGAUAAAGCCUCUCUUUACUUGACAGCCAUUGAGGAUGCAGAGUACAAACAUGACAAGAUUGAAUGUUAGUUCUGAAACUUGUUUUUUCCUUUUAAGUUGAUAUUGCUACCUAGUUGCCCCUUACUCAGCUCUUGUUUAAAUUGCUCGCUGAGUUCUUUUCUCGUGGUGGGAAUGUAUUUGUUCAAUAACUAGUACUUUUUUCUGUCUGUGACCUCAAUGCUGGUGCAGUCUGGAAUAGUGUGUAUGGUUUUGACAUGAGCUGUAUCAAGAGGCAAGUAAUUAUGGAACCUCUAGUUGACACUUGCGACCAAAAUCAAAUUGUUACAAACUCACAACUGCUAAAGGUACUGUUGGGAUAAAACUUAGUUUACCUUUUGCAUAUAUAUUGUGUUUCUCCGUUCAUAUUUAGUUUAUUUCGUUUGUUUCAGACUAUGGAUAUCUCCAACAUGACUUCUGGUGAUUGCUCGUUUACGGCUCCUUUCAAGCUGGUGGCAGAGCAUAACGAUUUCAUCCAUGCAUUGGUAGCCUACUUUGAUGUAGCGUUUACGAAAUGCCACAAAAUGAUGGGGUUCUCCACAGGUGCCUUUUUCUUCUUUUUGGUUAGAAUCUGUUCUUGAAUACCUUGUGUUGAGGAUCAGAGCAUUUACCUGGAAUAUAUGCAGGCCCUAGGUCGAGGGCAACACAUUGGAAACAGACAGUCUUAUAUUUGGAAGAAGUGCUGACAAUAUGUGAGGGAGAGGUGCUAAGUGGAAGCAUGACGGUUUCACCAAAUAAGAAGAAUCCUCGGGACGUUGAUAUAUUGGUCAAAUAUGCGUUGAAUGGGAAGCGUUGUUCUGUUUCAAGGAGUCAGCACUUCAAGAUGAGAUGACCUCAGUAGCUGGUGUUGAUUUCAACAUAAUGGUGUGCUACAUCUACAUCUAUCUAUUAAUAUAUGCACGAGUGUGGUUUGCUUAUUUUGUUCUUCUUUUUGUUCACUCUUCUUUUAAUUCCAACUUCCAAGUCCCUUCCUUUGGGAAAGGGUGAAAUGUUAAAGCUAAGCGGCAUUGUAUUAUCAUGCGCAAAUUUUGGGAAUUUGAUUUCGAAUGAAAUUAUUUAUGAAUCCUUUUAUUUCAUUCGACUCAAAUUAUCUAUGAUUUUGUAUUUUGUAAGGGUUGGUUUGAAUAAGUGUAUUUGUAUUUGAAAUUUUAAAUACUAAAUUUUGGUGUUUGGAUGGGGCUUUAAUUGUCCAUUUGAUUUUUGAAAUCAAAUAUAAGGUUCCAUUUGACUUUCGCUGCCGUCGGCCGUAGGCCACUGUCAUCCCUUCGUAACCUCCGUAGCUGGCCACCAUCGCCAUCAACUUCCACCACCAUCCUCCAAUCACUAUUGUCACUGAUCUAGAGUCACUUUGUCGCCGCCCAUUAGUCGGUAGUCGCCACCAUUGGUCUUCAGUCGGGAGUCUCCUUCGCUGCUGGGCAUUGCUCGGGAGUCACCUUCGCCGCUGGGCGUCGCUCGGGGUAGGCCACCUUUGCCGCCGGCCAACUCUAUCGGUGAUGUGAUGAUAGCUUUCGGUUUUGCAAUUUUAUAUAAUUGUGUAUUGUUUGAUGGAGUGUGUAUUGUAUUUCAAAUACAUACAAAAUAACUUCUUUCAAACACAUAAUUUCAAUUUCAAAUAAUUUCAUUCAUGCAUUUCAAAUACAUGAAUUUAAAAUCCCAAAUCCAAAUACACCUCUAGGCAAAUGAUUAACUUUGAAAAAUUGGCAUAUUCUUCAGCAAGAACCUUGAUCUGAUGCUUACGCCAGUUUUUUCUUUUAUCCUUAAUAUCUUACGGUCACUCGAUACUGAAAGAUAUUUAGACUUGCCUUUUCUCAUAGGGCGAAAUAAGAAGCAGAUUUUUGGAUACUUGAACUAACGGUUAUGAUCUCGCAUCCAAGGGUGGCGCGACAAUAAAUUGUUGAAGAAAGGAGGAGAGGUUCUCUUCAAAUCGAUAACACGAGCAAUUCCGACAUACUGCAUGUGCAGGUAUUUCUAUUAGGUACCACUUUAAUCAAGGAAUUGCAAAUUCUUAUGAAUGCUUUCUGGUGGGGCACAAAAAGAUGUGGAGAAAAUGGCAUACCUGGAUUUGGUGGGAAAGGUUAUGCACAAGGAAAGAAAAUGGUCGACUCGGUUUUCGAAAUCUACAUAGUUUUAAUCUCUUGCUUUUGGACAAACAAGGUUGUCGUCUUCUCGCUAAUCCGGAUACUCUAGUGGGACGUGCUCUCAAAGCUAAAUAUUACUCCGCACUUGAAAAUAACCCGAGUUUCACUUGGAAGAGUAUCUAGGAGGCCCAAGGUGUUGUGAGCAGUGGAAUUAGGUGGAGACUGGGAAAUGUGACAUCUAUGAAUAUGCGGAAGGAACCGUGGCUAAGAGAUCGACAUGAACCUUACAUUCAGGCAAUACCUUCUCCGGCGAAUAUGGAAGUCAACUUGGCGGAUCUCGCCAACGCUGAUAGCUGGCAUAUAUAGACUUUACAAACAUCAUUAAUGCCACGAGAUGUUGAUGAGAUCUUGAAACUUCAUCCCCCUAGAACGGAUUGGGAGGAUCAUCAUAUCUGGCGAUGGAAAGCGAGGUGAAUAUACAAUCCGAUCGGCGUACUAUUUUAUCAUGGAAAUCCUGGCCCCGAGAAUGGAAUGGCACAUUCCUGAGAAUUGGCGUAAACUAUGGAGAUUACAAUUCCCCGAACAGCGACGAUCUGGUGUUGGAGUAGCCUUACAGGAUAGCACGGGCUCCUUUAUAUCAGCAAAACAAAUGGUUUUCUGGGUGUUGGGAUGGAAGAGAAAGUGAAGGCAUGACACUACUGAACACCCUACAAUGGCUCAUCGAUCGUCAAAUCGCGACGGUGUAGAUUGAAUCGAAUUGUUAGGAACUUGUUCAAACUGUACAAAAUGGAAUUAAAGAUCUCACGAAAUUUGGCAUGCUGGUGGCACAAUGUCGAUCAAUAUUGGCUUAUCGACCUAUUUUCUGGGUCUCGUUUGUUAGGAGGAAUGAAAAUAUUCUCGUUCAUGAAUUAGUUAGGCGAUCAUAUUUUCUUACUUCAUCACUUGUUGUUGAAGCUCGUCCUUAAUGGAUGGCUGACAAUAUAAAAUAUAUAUACUUUCAUCAUUAAUAAUAUUACUACGUAAUGUCGAAAAAAAAUCAUAUGUUAUUCCGACGCUAUUGCAUGUCGAAUCUUUUUGAUACCGAACAUGUUUUUUCUGGCGGACUAAAACCAUCCACAAUGGAGUGUUCUACAAUGGUUGAGCUAUAAAGACAAAACUGCUAAAAAAUGUGGCCAAAUAGCUAAAUGGCCAGAUUUCACUCCAUUCCGUGGGCUUAUAAUGAUGGGAGGAGGGGAAAAAUUGAAGGAACCCUGAAAAAGAGAGUGACAACAAACCCCUAUUGUUGGACCAAUCAUAAGGCGAGUGUAUGACAAGCAAGGUACCCACAAGUGAACUUCUUUAAAUGGUUAAGUUUUUAGUGGUGUCCAGCUGUCACAGUUUUAUUGGCUUAAAGAUGGUUGGUGUUUAAAGAAGAAAACAAAUAGUUUCCUUCCUUUUCUCAUAGCAUCAACAACGAUUUUUUUUUCAAUGAAGUAUCUUAUUUUAAUUAUGUCAUAAUAAAUGUAAAAUAACAUUUGGUCCAAAUUAAAAAAAAUUACAUUAAAAUGUUUGUUUCAAUUAAUUAAUAUCAUUUAUAUAAAAAUAAUAAAUAAAUAUUUUAAAUAAAUUAACAAAAUUAACCAUAUACUAAAGUUGAACACAAAAUUAAAUAAUUAUAGCCAAAUUUAGCUCUAAACCAAUAUAGAAAAAUCACUUUUGUAAAGCUAAAAAGCUAAAUUUAGCUUUGUAUUUGACUUUUUUACCUUUUAUUAUAGAUCGUCUAACGGAAUGGAGGGAUACUGGAACGACGCCGUAUGCUUGCCACUCUUAAAUGCAGGUUGGUUCGCAUAGGGAUUUCCCAAAGAGGAUUAUUAUACGACGCUCUACGAUUCGAAUUAAACAACACCCUACAUUAUAUAAAGACUUAAAAGUCCAUCUCGAAAAAACGGAAAAUUUACAACUUCAAUUGAAAAAACUCUCUUCUAGUAUGUUUUAUUUGUUCGAAAAACGCUCCGACCAUUUUUUGGUAAGGAUGAUCGAAAAUUAGCGGCUGACCGAUCGGACGGACCGGUUUUCGGACCGAUCAGACAACCCAGACAGACCUUAUUUCCGUCCAGGUUGUCUGGCCGGACUAAACUCCGGUCUGUUCGACGGACGGACUGGUGUUUAGUCUUGCUAGAAAACCUAGACGGAUAUGCGGUAUGUAUGGAUUGUCUAACUAGCCCGAAAACAGGUUCGUCCAGUUGGGUCCCUCUAGUUUUUUAUAAAAUUUUAAUUAACUCUCUUAAUUUUUUUGUAGGUCGGUUCGUGAUCACACUCGAAGGCGAGUUCAAAGAUGAACUCGGUAUAACCAAGAUCGUAUUCACGGGGUUUCAUUCUGAGUAUUACUCCGAAAAGUGCGAGGAUGAAAGUCUAAUCGUUGGAAUAGCAUGUAUGAAAGCACGAAAAUCGGAAUCGAGUUUAAUGGAUGAGUGAAACCUGUCCCGUCGGGGAUUUAGUGGCACUUUCGUAUCUAAACCAAAUCCCCAAAAUAAUCUUACAAUUGGUAUUCGAAAAUUGCAAGAUAUGACAGUAGCUAUAUGCAAGAGAAAGACAAGAACGAAAUUAACGAAAGUUUUGCAUAACACACUCGAAAUAAUGUCGUAUUAAUACAUAAUCAAGGUUUCAUCAAUUCCAGACAGAGGUAGAGCUAAGUUACACAUGAUAAUCAACUUAACAACACAGAAAUGGAAAUAAUACAUGAACUUGGAGCUCCAAGAUUCAAGAACUCUCCACCGUCGUAAAACUUAGCAAUGUCGGCGAUUUCGAACGGAAGUUCCGGAAUGGAUUUCUUCACCUUCGGAGCUUCGAAUUGGUGCGGUUUGAACUGGCAAGUUCCUGGGUUGAAAGAGAACGUCUUGGAAUAGAGUAGGAAGGCUUGGAAGUCUUAUAUGGUGUGUGUGUAUGAUGUGUUUUCGAAGUGGAGAUGAGUUGCCCUUAUAUAGACUCGAAAAAGGGCGUAUUAAAGACUCCGACAUGGGCGCACCAACUUCAUUAGCUGCAUGUAAGCUAUAGCUGUCCCUAGAGUGAUGAUGGACAGAUCUACAUGUGUUGGACGUCCCCAUCUAUGCCUGUUGUCCUUCCGGCGAUCGGUUGUUCGAUGGAUCGUAAAACGCCCGUAACUUCUUCGUUCGAAAUCGGAUUUAGCUCCAGUUUGUAUCGUUGGAUUUGUAAUUCAUCCCUUUAUAACUAUGUGGCCUGAAAUUUCAUUAUAAACACUAGAAACAACAUAAAAUUAGACCAUGAAGGUCCAAAGGUUGAAUUUACGAAAUUAAGUGCAAUAAAACUGAUUUCCGUCGAAACUUCCGUUUGCAACUGAUAUUAUGACAUGAAGGUUAUAAAGUUUAGUGCCAAAUAUUACGGUAUAUUAUAAUGUCAUCAGUUCGUUAAUUUGAAUAUGAGAUUAGUACGUGAAGUACUACGGGUGGAUGCACAUACUAUUGCCAUGAGUACUACGGUAAGCACUCGUCCAGUGUCUCGAAAGGUUUAACGAAUAUGUUAUAUGUAGAUAAAAGGUUAAUGUAGUUUGUACUUUAGUGUUCAUGUUUAACGAAUAGGGAGUUGAUGCCGGUGGCGAAAUUGAUUACACCGACUGGUUCUUAUCCGACGAUGUGUACAACACUGUCGUUGAAGCGGUUGAGGCUGCAAAACUGAUUGCUACAACGCUUAAUUUCCAUCUUAUCAAAGGGUCCGAAAAAAGCAAUGACGCAGAAAUGGAGUGUCUGGUGUAUAUGUAUUGCUCAAGUGGACCUGUUCGUAAAUCUGAGGGCUCAGAUCCGCCGAAACAGGCGACGAAGUCAAAGAAGUGAAAUUGCCCAUUCAAACUUGUCGUGCGGUCAACGGUGGUAUAUUGUUAGUGGAGUUUUUUUUAUUGACGGUGUUGACGACAUCAAGAAUCCUGAUAAAUCAAAGGGGUACCACAAUCAUCUUUUGAUUCUAUUUUCCGAAGUCAGCUCGGAAAGCAAUCCGCUCUUGGAUGCCGCGAAGAAAGUUAAUAGGGAUAUGGUGGUGGUUCACACACAACCGAAUAAGAUCAGGUAUUCUGUGAACAAGAAAUUCAACACUCGUCACGCGUGUCAGUCAUACUACGGCCUAGGUGGUACAGUCCCGAGGUCGACAAAAAAUCCUCAAGUGUUAGUGUCUGACGUUGAAAUCCCAUUACGUACUCCAGGUGUCUCGGGCGAGUGUAGAAUCUGAAGUCACAGAUGUUACGGUAGUAUGGACCGGACACCCAUAAGCAAUAAGCAACGUGACCCCUGAAACUGGGAAUCACACUCGUCACCAUUGGGCCGCCAUCCUCUAUCCCCUCAGCAAGCAGCCACGUGCGAAAAUUUCCCUUGAACCCAGUAGUCUCAGCCUCAUCCUCGAUUGGUACAUGGUGUGCAGUCUCGGAUGGAGCAAAUCGACCGGCUCUCCCACAUGUAGCGCCAACGCUCACCGAUGCAUGAGAUGGCCCUGUAGAAGUCAUAUACGGAUGCUGCGGAACAUACUCAAACUCAUAGUCACCCAUCAACUCAUUAUCAUACGGGUAUGGAAUAAAUCUACAUCUCGAAGUCAGAAAGGGUGGAGGUCUAACAGACGCGACGAGAGACAGAGGUCUAACAUGGCCAUUGAUACCGACCCGAAUCCUAAUCAGUAGGAAAGGCUCUAGAAUUAAUCUAACGAAUUCCACUAAUUAUAAUAAUCUAACAAAUUCUAGUAAUUACUACUUUAAUUACAUCUAUACAAUUUUACUAAUUACUAUAUUAAUUUAAUAAAUUCCACCAAUUAAGAUAAUUUGGUAAUUCACUCAACCUACCCAUUAUUUAAUUCAGUCUCCAAUCAGUAAGAAUUUGGUAGGGUUUUGCACAUUUGCAUCCUUCUCCUUCCAUCCCUACUUUUCCUCCUCCAAUUUUCAAAGAAGUAAAAGACGCCAUCUAACAUGGAGCUUGUCUACCCUAUUUCUCUGAUGGGGGAAAACUACACGAAAAAGCUAAACCGAUCGAUACAAGAUGUCGUCGAUGAAAUGAGCAAAGCCACACCGAAUUUGUCUCAGUUUAUUCAAGCUUUUUAUGAGCUAAUGCAAUCGAAGCUCAACCCGCCUCUAGAAGCCAUCUGGGUAUACUCGGCACUUUCCUAUAACGGAAAGAAGAAGGAAAACGAGGGUCUUUCCGAUAGACUGACGACGGUGAAGCAACUCUUUCAGCUCAUAUCGGCAUGUUCCGGACCAUGCAGUUCCUCAACAAGCAUUGCGUUGCUUGGUCCUGUUGUGUUCGAGCUCCAUAAAUUGGUGACCGAGCUGCUUGGCCAAGAUUCAGAGGCUAAGAGAGUGAAAAAGCUGGUUAGAAAUGUCCAGUCUUUAAUUGGUUCGGUUCUCGGUUACGUCGCUUUGUGUGCAGAGGCGACGCCCGAAAAGAAAGAGUCCAACUUGAUUGUGAAGUUGGCGGAUUUGGUUGGUAUUUGGAUGGAUGGGAAGGAAGAGCUUAAAUCGUUUCUGCCGCUAUUGAAUGAUCAAGCGCGGACAGAAAUUGGUUUGGGAGGUUUUACUGUGAUACAGUUGGCUGGGGCUGUUACUGUUGAGUUAUUCUUGUUGAAGCUUUGCUUCGAUUUACGGGUUGGGAGUAGAGGAGUUGAUCAGUUGGAGAAGCCGCUCAAGAGUUGGAUUGUCGGGUCGAUUACUGGGUUUCGGAGCAUUUAUUUCUUUGGUAAGUGUUGGUCAUGCUGCAACUUACUUCUUAGACUCUUGGUCCUUUGUAGAUUUAUUGCAUUUUACUGCCUUUCUUCUGCUGUUCCAAUCAGUUCCGAAAGUUAUAUUGUACUUUAAUUUGUAUGUAUUGCUCUCAGUUGUAUCUGAAACUUGUUAUAUUGUAGAUAUUCUUUUGAGGGUGCUAUUGGAUCCUAGUUUACCAGUUGCUUCACUGUUGGUAAGUGGGAUUUCUUUGUUUAUGAAGCUUGUUGUUUGAUUCAGAAAACCAGUCUGUACUAUUUUGCUUUGUUCAUAGAAUCGCAUAAUCAUUUAUUUUCUGCAGAAUUCUGAAGAUGAAAUUUUGCUGCGAAGUGCACUUUAUGAAGCGGUUAUAUUGGUUGAGUACUCUUUCCUCAAUCCUGCUACUGCAGUUUAUCUUCCUGAAGAGCAUUUCCUAAGUCUUGGCUUGAAAAGAUUGGUCCUCUCUCUUGAGGCUAUAGAAUUGUUCAGGUAAUGAAGUCGUUUUUUACCAAAAGUAGGAGAAGCAAUGUGUACAUUUGAGAGAUGGAGACUCUCAUAAUCUCUGGCUUACUACAGGAAAGCAGGGAACCAUAAGAGAGCUGUUUCCUACUCCACUUCAUUCGCUGGUUCUCCAUUGCCUUUGCUGAUAAUCAAACAUGUCACAAGCCAGAUUGGCAUGGAGGAAGAAGCAGGAAGAUUAAAGGGAUCAUCUCCAAAGGCUCUUUUAGGUUGGUGCUUCCAUCUCAAACAUUUUUGUUCCUUUUGUCUGUCUCUGGAUUUUUUUCUUUUUGGCCGUCAUUGUUGUUGUUUCUCCUUUGUCAGGAUGGUUAUUCUCCCUCGAGGGUCAAGGCGUACGAAUAUUUGAUGAUAGCAUCUCCAAAACUCGUGUAAAAUUCGCCCUUAAUUCAUAUAAAGCUGAUGAUGCGGAAGUAGCACAUAAUGCCGAGGGAAACAAAAUGAAUUCUGAGCUUAUGUUCUACAUUGAUAACAAGGGAGAAAUGGAAGAUGGAGGUGAUGAAGAAGAAGAAGAAGAAGAUGAGAAGUCUGAUAAAGAGAUGAAUGAAUCCAUGACAGCUGCCUUCAUGGCUGCUGCUCACUCGCUAACAACGGCAGAAACCAAAGGUAAAAAACGAAAAGAAGGCCCAAGUGCUGGGAAGAAAAAAAGAACGAAACUUGCUUUGCAAUCCGAUACUUCUGAUUCAGACCUACUUGAUGAUGAUGGUUCAAGCAGUGCUGGUGAAGUAGAGAACCCCACCAGUGAUCAGGAUGCCUGACUAUUUGAGCUUGCGUCAUCCGAAACGUAAGGCAUACCUAUCCAUCGGCUACUAAAAAAAUUGAAGAGAAAUAUGAGAUUCAAGCAGAGAAGUUUUGCUCCAGAGAAACUGCUGAUCUCUGCUUAAUCUGAUAGCUAAAGUUAUUCAGGUGCAUUUUAUUCGGUUGUUCAUUGCAGAAGAUCUGCAUUUCGAGGCUUAUUAUAGCUUGAAUGACAAUAUUGUAUUGAACGUUUUGAAUCAUUGAUCUGUUUCGGCAUCACCAGUGUCCUAAACACCGUUUGAAAAGAUGCACUCAAAUUUCCUGUUGGAUCAAAAUAAGGGGACAUGAUCCGUAUUAUGUCUGAAAAACAUAAUUGAUCUUACCAUAUGCAUAUUAGUAGAAGUUAGGGAUUGAGAAUUGAGAUUUCUCGAAUCCGAUUUAAUUUUUAUAUUACGGCGAUUGGGAAAACAGGGAACAAACACAUUAAAAACAGGCAAACUAUCCCAUUACAAAUUGUAAUUGUGUAUGAAGAAUCCGCAAAGUACAACAACAAGAGAGAAAAAUUGCCUAACGGCUGGCACUAGGUUGGAGUCUCAUCCCCUUGUGUUGUAAGCAUCUCUUCCUUCCAGGAACAGGAGCCCUAACACACGCCCAACCAUUCAGCAAAGGAACACCACAAGUAGGUGCAGUGAACAGUAAAUCAUCAUUAGUAACAUUAGCAUUGGCAUUAACAAUCUUGUUGCCUUGGUGCUGCCAGCAUCUUUCAUUCCCUUUCUGUGGCCAUCUUCUACAUAGGGAACCAUUCACCAAGCCUGCUCCACAUAACUUAUCAUUCAAUUGCGAUCCACGACCAUCAAUAUCAGUAGUAAACUUGGACAGCUCAUCUUCCUCUACUGUUGUUGCCUUAAUGGCGGAGGAGCAAGUGUUAUUCACAGCUCCAUAGAUUCUCAUCCCUUUGUGUUCUUGACAUCUCUUUCUUCCAACAACCGGCGGUAUUGUGCAAGGUAUGCCAUCCACCAUUAUGAACCCACAUACAUUACCAGAGUUGUACUUGUCAUCUGGUAUUCUAUAACUGUCUGAAACAACCAAUCUGGGUUUCGACCUAUUGAAUUUGAAGACCCUAGCAAAGAAUUUAUUAAUGCCAUCAGCAUCAUCUUCGGUUUUGAGCUUUUGCGGGUUGGCGAUUGCUUCAAUCUUGAUCCCAACUGCAGCUUGGCCAAAGGACAUUAGCCUCUUGGAAAUGUCUUUGAGCUUCGCAAUAGCAGCUGUUGAUGAAGAAGAAAUUCUAUCAAGUUUGUGGAGGAUUUCAUCAGGUCUACGAGCGCCAUUUCCUCCUCGAUUCCACGCAUAAUCAAAGGUGUUCAACAGCUCUGACUCUGUCUUCUCAGCAGCCUUUUUGUUCUUCAUCUGGUUUACCCAAAACAAAACACAUCACUCAUAACUCUCUAUAAAGCAGAAAUUCUGUUAAUACAUACUGCACUUACAGCAGCCCAUCUGAAAACAAUGGAAUGGCCUCUUAAGAAGAUCUCCUGAAACAAGCUGAUUCCUUUAUUAUUAUGAGUAAUAGUAGGAUGAUGAUCAUCCUUCCUGCUCUCCAAAUGGGCACCAGUUCGUCCGUACCGCUGGAGUCGAGUCCUCACAUUUUCCGCUUGACCUAGGUAUACCACCACGAUCUCGUGCUUCUCCACUCCUCGGCUUGAUCCCAUUCGCCCGAUGGCAAUUCCCAGCUCGUAAACUCCAGCGAAAGAAGCCCAAGGGAGAUUAUGGACUCUGUAUCUCGCAGCUCCUUCCUUUCCUGAUAAAUAGUCCGCCCAGUCGGAUGCCCCGAUUAGAACCUGAAUCCCCAAACAAUUUUAGUCCUAAUAUUCUGGGGAAAGAAACAUGUUUAAAGUUAUAACCGACGAGAAAAUCAAAUCAAUGGAGGAACUCACUCAGUUCUGGCUGCCUAUGGAACUGAUUAGCUAGAACAAAAGGAAUCACAGGUUUGGGUUUUGAUCGAAAGAAUUGUGGGAAGGAGAGAGUAUAUUACCUGCCAUCUGGAGAAGUGGGAGUCGUGCUUUGUUCGAUUACAGUCCUCUCUCUUCAAUUUGCCGCCGAUGAGGGCGCCGGAUUUGGCGGCAUCAGCCAUCAGACAUAAGGAUUAGACUCCACCGCCUACUGUCUGAGAAAGCCACCACCGCUUCUUCAAUUCAAAGGCUAAGACCGGGAAAGAUGACCGUUAGUUUGGCCCAAUAGAUAUAAUCUGAUUAAACAAACGAAUUCUGACGGAGCAGAAUGGCUAUGCAGCUGAAUCUAUUGGCUCCAAUCAAUAUGUGAUCCAACGAUUCAAAUUUUAUCUGGUAUAAUUUAAUUGAACGGCUGGAUAUGAUAGAGGUAAGAGAGGAAAAGUGUUAAACACAGAUUUUAUAUUUUAAAUCUUUUAUUCAUAUAUAUCCGAUUUUCUUAUUUAUUAUCAAAAACUUUCUUGCUAUCAUUUUUUUUUUUUUAAUUCUCUCCCUAACCCUGAAUUAUAAUAUCUCCGCCGCAUCUUCUUUCUAAAUCAGAGUUGAAGAAAAUCAUGGAUUCUUCCUUGGCGGCAGAAAAAUGAACAAGCAUCCUCUUACAAAUCCGUCAAGCAUCGCCUUUUAUUUUGUGUUGUUGUCAGAUGCUUUUUUCUUUAUUCUCUCACUCCUUCAUUCUUUUCUUUUCUCGGAAAAUAACCCAAUCUCAAUCUAACAGCAAUGUUUCGUCCACACAAUUCAGUCCAAAAUUGAACGCAAGACGUUCUUGAUUUCAAAAGAUGGGUAAUCAAAUAAAAACAAUCCUACCUCAAAACAAACAUCAGCAUGUCACAAAAUACGAAGAAAAAACUAGUACAGAAGAAACACCAUACAAAGUAGACACUACACUACACCUAUCAGUUUGUCAGAGUUUCAAGAUUCAAAGAUGGAAUGAGAACAAAAAUGACUCAAACUUUGCUUUCCUUCCCAUAGAGGCUUUGCCUCUGACUCCAACUUUGCUGCUUCCUCCACAAUAUUGGAUUUGGUGAUUGCACGCCGACCGGAGCCGCUGAGAAGGAAAAUGCACCUCUUAAUAAUAGUCGGUCACCCAGCACCAAGUGUUGGGUCAUAUAUGGUGCUGCUGAAUGUCAAAUUAGUAGUGUGAUUACAAAAGGUAAUUUGAAUUCCGAAGGCCGCCAACCGAAUGAAGCUGCUGCUGCUACUAUCUCAUGGAUGGUGAUUUCCGUGGACCAUCAAAUUAAUGCGCUUAGCACUCUCUGACCGAAAGCUUUCUCCUUUAUACCCUAUCUGGAACCAGAAAUUCACAUUUCAAUCGGAAAAAAAAAACAUUAAAACAAAAUCCUGCUUGUCUACUGUCUGAUCCUCCAUUGUAUGACCCAAAUAUAUAAUUUGACACACUGCAUACAACUAGACAAAAGCAUUACCUCAUGAAUGCUUUCCGGAGGAAACCACCGCAACAGCACACCAAGAUGUACCACUGCUGGAAUAAGCUUGAAAAGAAAUGGUGUCGUUACCUGUGCCGGUCAAUAUCAAAAUAUUUCAGCAUGUAGUGAUUACCGAGAAGACAACGCAAGCUAAUCUAGCUUCGGAAACUCUUGAUGAUACCAACGUAUUGCAGCCCCAGGGGUAACUCACCAUGGUCGUUUUACACUCUCAUAAUGUUUUGAUUUCAAAUUAACUAGCAUAACCACCAGAGCCAGACAAAGCAGAGAAAGCCAAAUAUGAUCUUUGCAUGCUUGUUUCUAUUUAAUUUGCACGCUACAUUUCCUACUAUAAAGAUAGGAAGAUAGCAAAAAUCGAUUAACAUAGUGUUAUCAUGAUGCUCAAAUGUGUACUAACCAGACUGAGGGCUGUCGUUCCAAGAAGCAAUAGAUAUAAUUUACCCUGCAGGAAUACGUUGGUGAUAAAACAUUAGCUCAUAGAAAAUACGCAAGUUCCUUCUCUUCGACAGUUCGAUUAGUGUUCCUAUAGAAUAAUAAAAGAAUUAUGUGUUAUAAUUCACUGUUAGUUUACAUCUCUAUACAUGCUUCUAUCUUAAGAGGAUUCGUAGUCUGCUAAACUAAUUAGUAGUUAUCUACUCACUAAUAUUUAGUAUUUAGAGUAGUUCUAAUCGAAACCGUUAUUAUCCUGUACCAAUAAGACAACACUAUCUAUCGGAUAAUAUAUAAUAAUAACUGUUUGCAGUAAAAUUAGGGAAUAUUUGUGUAUAGGGCUAAUCAGCCAAUAAUACUAAGACAUCCUGUGUUGCUGAAAAAUAGACUUCAGCAACAUGCUGCAUUAUUUCCAGCCGUCAGAUCGUCCUUUUUUCAGCUCUUUUAAUCUACAGGCAUAAAUUAAUAUAAGCAGUCUUGGUAUUUGGAAAGUAUUUUUGUUUUCUUAUUUUUUUAAACUAACAUAAAUCAUUUAGUUUCAGUCCGAUUUUUAUGAUCUUUAUAUAGAAAUAUUCUUCUUUUAAAAACCAAUCUAACGAGACCAAUAUUGAUUUUUUUUGAGGAUUUUUAAAAAAUAUUUUUUUCAUCGACCAUACAUACAUUUAAGCUGCUAAUACCUACGUCAAAGUUGUAAUGCCUAGAUUUAAGUUGUUAAUAACUAUAUUUUCUCUCUUAUAUCUACAUUACGUUUAAGUUGCGAAUAACAACGUCUAACUAGAUAAUAACUGCAUUUAAGUUGAUAAUAACUAUAUCUACCUAAAAUGUGUUAAAACGUACCUCUGAAAUGAUGAUAACUACGUCUGAAUUCCCUCAAUAACUAUGUCUUAUUGGCUAAUAACUACAUUUUCUCCUCUUAUACCUACCUCAAGGUUGUUAACGCCUAUGUCUAUUAGUUUCUAAUAACUACAAUUUGCCUGUUUAUAUCUAUCUUACGUUUAAGUUGCUUAUACCUAAUCUAAGUUGUUGAUAUCAACGUCGAACUCUAAGUUAGUAAUAGGAACGUCUAAGUUGUUAAUGGUUACGUCUAAGUUGUCAACAACUAACAGUUGAUAUUGGCCCACUAAUAUCGUUGGAUAGUUUCGAGGUGGCUGAUGUGCAUGGGAGGAAGCUUCCCGUUAAUGUGCAGGUGGAGCAGAAUCCACAACCGCCACUCCUUGUGUACCAAACGAGGAAACAACGGAAUUCGGCGGCAACUAUUCAGUCCUCGGAGGAAGCAGGUCAACAUAUGAGCCAACCUACUACUCAAGAGCAAACGAUAGCGGAGGUAACUGAGCUGGCUGAUGUGACUGAUGACCUGGAACUUUCAAUUGCUUUAAGGAAAGGGGUGAGAAGCUGUGCUCACUACCCCAUUGGUAACUACAUGAGUUGUGAAAGGCUCAAUAAUGGAAACAAGGCAUCUAGAACGGGAUCUACUCGAGGAGGUAUAUAUGAACUUCCCUCUUGUAAUUCAGAACUCGAGUCAAGGGAAAGUGUGUAAACUCAAGAAAGCCUUGUAUGGGUUAAAACAGUCCCCGCGAGCAUGGUUUGAUAGGUUUGCUAAGUGUCAAACUGACAACACCUUAUUUAUAAAGUAAUCCUCCACCGAAAGAAGAUCAAUUCUAAUUGUCUAUGUUGAUGACAUUAAUAUCAUAGGGGAUGAUGAAGAAGAAAUUCGACGUCUAAAGAACAGAUUGGCUUGAGAAUUUGAAAUAAAGGAUCUUGGAAACUUGAAGUAUUUUCUGGGUAUUGAAGUAAUAAGAUCAAACAAAGGGAUUGUUAGAUAACAAAGGAAGUAUGUGAUUGACCUAUUGAGAGACACUGGGAUGACAAACUACAAACCAGUAGAUACUCCAAUGGAACAGAACAAGAAACUCAGCAAUAAUGCUAAUGUUAUAGCAGUAGAUAAAGGGAACUACUGGCGUUUAGUAGGAAGUCUCAUCUAUCUACCUCAUACUCGCCUUGAUAUUUUGCUUUUGCAGUAGGCAUUGUUAGCCAACACAUGCAUGCUCCCAACGAAGAACACAUGGAAAUGGUGGUGCGCAUUCUCAUAUAUCUAAAGGGAUAUUCUGGUCAGGGAAUAUGGUUCAAGAAGACUCAACUCCGCAACGUUACAGUGUACACGGAUGCUAGUUGGGCCUAACUGAUCGAAGGUCUACUUCUGCAUACUGCAGUUAUGUGUGGGGGAAUAUUGUGACUUGGCGAAGCAAAAAGCAGGAUGUGAAGCAGAGUACCGAGUCCUUGCCCUUGGUAUAUGUGAAGGAAUUUGGCUAAAACGGGUUCUACAAGAACUAAAGAUUGAUCUGAACGGACCUAUUCAAGUAUUGUCAAAUAGCCAGUCAGCCAUUAGUAUUGUGAAAAAUCCAGUCCACCAUGAUCGUACCAAGCACGUUGAGGUGGAUAGGCAUUUCAUUUCAGAUAAUGCAGCAAAGGGAGUCAUUCAAGUUGAGUACAUCCCAUCCAAGCACCAGGCAGCAGAUAUUCUGACCAAGUCCCUUGGGCUUGAUGCAUUCCAAUUCCUUUCUUCCAAGCUCGGGUUGAUCAACAUCUACACCAAGCUUGAGGCGGAGUGUUGAAUAAUAUAGGAUUUGCAGUGUAUUAGAAUCUUAGCUACCUUAUUUCCUAAGUUAGAAAUUAGGUAGUUAGUUGACAUAGUAAGUCUGAUCCUAGCAUAUCUCCUAUUUAGGUAGGUCUGAAUUAGACAACAUGUAUAUAUAUUCAUAUAACCUAAUACGUAAAUCAUAAGAUGAAGAAGAGAUUCUCAUACCCUACGUCUCCUCUCUAAUUUGAGAGAUACCCCACAUGAAAAGGAUAUAAGCAUAAUCGACGGCUUCCAAUAGGCAUGAAAAACAAGAACAGCAUCAAGUACAAACCUCAAUUAGAUGAAUAUUAGAAGCACGACUGAGAAUCACAAAGGAAAAUUCCCCAAUUUGUGCGAGAGACAUCCCAACCUACAUAUAUAAUUGAACCUGAGGCCCUUCUGUCAAUGGAACAAAAUGGCAUAACAAAUGGAAAUACAAAUGUGCUAAGAAUGAUAUUGGAGAUCUUACAAGAAGUGCAGUCUUAUUGUUGUAUCCAAAUCCCUUGACAACAGAUGUAGUAAUAAUAGUUUUGACAACAAUCACUAACAGUACCGAAGCAAGUAGUAUAUCAACAUGAUUCCAUAGGAAAUGGACAUCUAUCAACAUCCCAAUGCUUGCCAAGAACAGAGCUGCAAAGAAGUUGCGAAUUGGUUCUACCUGAAAUUAUUAAAAUUGAAAAGGAGCGCAAAUGCAUGAGAAUUUAACACCCAACCAAGACUUUGGUGAUGCGAAGAAUUGAACUCACCACUAAGAGAAACGCAGGGCCAAAAACAUUGUACUGAUUCAUAAAUUCCUUACUAAAAGUUCGUUAUCUUUUCAAAAAAAAAAAACCAAAACAUACAAUUAACAUACACAGGUACUAACCAAAAAGAUAGCAUGAAACAAUAACUCACAACUGAGUAAUGGGCUGAUGCCACAUAGGACAAGAACAUGCUUACAAAGAUAUGAAAAGGUCAAAACCACUUGCCAACGUUGUAUAACACAGAUGUUUUCCCAAUUAAUCAUCCAGGGUAAAGAAGGUUGUUUUCCGUUUUCUAAGUUACAGUGGCUACCGUUAUAGUUAAUAUUCUCUUAACCGAUUACUAUUUACUGAAAAGCACACAACAGAGCAGGGUAUUAUCAGUAUCCUACCCAUCCAGAACAUCUAAACAGUCACAAACAAAAUCGAUAAAUACUAAUUAAAUCAAUGCAUAAUUCUUCAGAUGUUAUGUAUUCUAGACUGGAAGCGAACUAUAAAAAAAGGAGAAUCGUUCAUAGCAUAUUAUGAAAAUAUACCAGUUACAGUAGAUGGGAGCUAUAACACUUUGACACUCCCAAAAUUGAAAUAUAAUGUCUUACUUGCUCGAGUGUAUGGUGCGCGAAAUCAGUCGUGGAUAUCAUCACACCUGCAGCAAAUGAUCCUAGUUCAAGGCUGAGACCCAACUUGUCACUACACUGAAAUUAUCAAAGAUGCAAGGACAUAAUCAAUAUUAGUAUGUAAAACAGGUCUGACAAGAAAAAUAGUUACUAGCAUGCCACUAACAUAAAAGAAAUCGAUUGCAAACUAGUGAAAGGCAGUGAAACGGUAUCUCAGAGAUUAAAUUCAAGAUCAAGCUGGUUCUUCAUGUCUGUCCUUGCUGUUGGGAGAUAAUCACCAUACACAGAUCAUAUAGAGAUAGCACCAAUGUAACAACAUUUAUGCGAACACGCCAACACAGAGAGCAUUUCCCAUCAAUACAUUAUAAAUAGUGAAUAUCGUAGCAACUGGAUCUACUGGAAAUCACAAUUCAGAGACGGAACUAAAUUUAGAUAGGGUAAACUCCCCAUUUCGUUCAUCAGAGUUAAAAUACAACUCUACAAAAAAGAUAAGAAACAAACCAGCCCAAGUGACACGAGAAGUCAAGAAAUUAGGUGAGAAAGUCUACCCAUGCGACAAGCAGGCAGAACGCCACUGAUGCCAGCUGAUAGAGUUCAUUAGUCUGUACAGAUAAACACUAGUAAAAAAAUGAUCAUGGUAAUACGUUGAAUAAAAAAUCUUGAAUUAUGAUUACCUGAGACGAUAAGCUUAUCAUAAGCUUAAGGAACCAUGGCACACAGGUACGAGACAAUAUUGUUAAAGUAGCCAAAAAUGCAAGCAGCAGCACUAACCUGAUUGAAAUACGAUAAGAGGGGAUUUGAAAAUCAAAAUCCAAAAGGGACCCCCAUCCAGAAGAAAAAAUGGAGAAGCAAUGAAAGUAGGGUUUAAGUAAAUGAAUAACUGUUAGAAUCUGUUAGCUGUCCUUUCUUUCCUUCUUUGUAUAUAGCCGUUGCAUAUCUUCUAAUUAUGGUAGUUAGGUAGUAAAGUAAUCCCUAAUUUAUAGGGAUGCACCAUGUGAGAGAUCCGCUCCUUGAUAGGAGCAUUUGACUGUCUAUAUACCCCUAGAAACUUAAGAUUGCCAAUAAAAAAAAAUAUUCAAGUAUUUCCUAAAGUUAAAAAUAACAUUAAUCGAGCAAUAUCAAAUCCAGUGCAACAAACACACCUCCUUUAUCAUCAUGCAAAAAUAAAAUACUAUCCACACCUAGAGAUCUCAAGUUUGAAAGUCAAUCACCAAUCAAUCCUUGUAACAUAUGACAAUUCAAUACUAAACAGAUGUGCGGAUAUGCUAGCAUAUGUAAGCAACCAAUGCAAGAUUCAUAACUGAUAUCAAUAGCACCACUAGAAUUGAGCUAUGUUAAGCAUAAGGAUUGCCUAACAUAGCUUAUAUAUGAUGCAUAUGAUGUUGUGUUCUUUAGAUACUUACAACUUAGUCAUGGAUAUCACUCCCUGAAGAACACCAGAAGUACCACCAAGAACAGGAAGUAAAGCAAACAGCAGACCAACUGCACAAUCCUGAGAGAUCCAAAUAUAGUAAGGAAGACAUAAGAGAGCAAUAAUUUAAAAAGAGCUAUGAACUUUGAGCUAUCUUCAAUGUCAAAUUUCCGUGACCAUAACAAUCUAAAAAAUAUGACCAUGGAUCAUCUUAGUCCUAAAAUCAUAUCAUUAGAAUGGUACAAUUUUCUACCUGCAGAAUGAGGGUACCAACAGUGACCUGGCCAUAGAGGGUAUUUAUGCUAUUUUUUUCCAUCAAGAACUUUAGAACCUGCAGCAGGACAAAUAAACGAGGGAUAAAGAAGUCAUGGUGGCUUUUGAGCGGGGAAGUUUUUUCUGAAGCAUGUGCAAGAGACUGAUAAAACACCAUGUGUGUUCACUAAAAGAGACUUGUUUAGUUAUUUGGCCCCGUGCAUGAGUGGGGCUAUGGAAAUGAAAAAUCUAUUUAAAGCAGGUAUCUCAUAAAACAACAGUGGUGGGUAUUUGACCAAACCAGAACUUAGUACUGCGAUAUCAACAGUUAUGUACAUAACCUUUGGUAAGUCACAAUGUUCCCACUAAUUUGCAAUUAGAAGAACGGUAAGGUUCAAAGAAAACCCUAAUGGACCCACAAAAUGACAAACCUGAUACAUCGGAAAGAAAGGUGAUCAUUACUGCAAGUGGAACAGAAACCAAGACUCAACAAUAGAAAAGGAAAAAACUAGGAUGUGGCAUGCUUUAUAACUAUCCAUAGAAAAGGCUCCUUUUGACCUACAACCUUACGCAGAAAAACAGAUGGAACAGAAUGAAAAUUUCAGAAGGAACUUCUACGUAGCAGUGAAAUCUAAACUAACUUAGUCCGACAUAAACAGUGCCAACAAAUACAAAUACAUAAAAUAACUAUUACCACUGCAGUUGAAGACAUUGAGAGGAAUGCACCUACAAAGAUGCCCUCAGAAGGCUUACCCCCGCAUACCUGAAAAAUCAUGCAACAACAGGGACUAUCAUCAAGUCACAGAUAACGGGGAUGAAAGAGAACAAAUUUGGUUUACUAGUUUCAAGAACCCCCUAUUCUCUAUUCAAAACGGCUAGGCGAGGGCAUUUAAAUACUUUAAAAAUGGUUUAUAUAGUAGUCUGAAGUAAACUGUGUCACCUUGAGACCUUGACCUUGUUUAAAUAUGCAAGAAAAAUCAUUUUUCCAGUUUCAUCACACUAGUUUAGAUGUGUAUUAUCAUGUUUUUCGACAUAGAUCAUAGAUACAUGUUUAUGUCUGUAUUAAUAAUGUUCCAUAGAAUAUGAGAAGCAAAACAUCACAGGUAUUUAUAGUACUAAUCUCAUAAAAAGCAUAGCCUGCCUCUAAACUCAUUUUCUCAUGUGUUUAUUCAGAAGUAACUCAGUUUGAUAUGUCGGUAGAACAAAGUUUCUUAUCCUCGUCCACAUAACAUAUACAUUUGGUUUCUUGUUGAAAGUGUCCAUCUAGAAGUACUUAGAACAAUGCUUACCGAGGCUGUUAAUCCACAAAGGCACAUAAAGAGCGAAAUCUGGAGAAGACCUCCAACAACUGCAACUGCUCGGACAACACGAAGCUGCAUUUAAAAUAGAGAUGAAAUAAAUCAGAGUGCAGAAGGUAGUCUGGAGCACACAUGCAAGAAAGGAUAUACGCAGACCUUGGUGAUGGAAAACUCCAGACCCAGGACAAACAGAAGGAAUAUGACACCAAAUUGUGCAACUGUCUCAACCUGUCAAUUUCACAGUAACGAAAUUUAAAGAAGCUUAACUCCUAAACUAGACAAGAGGACAAUGUAAUGGCACAAGUGUUGGAAAAUGUGAAUAGAAGAUUUCGCAUUUUCAAACAAGUUUCACCUGCAAACAUGUUUAUAACACAAGAAACAAAGAGCUGAAACCAAAAGCAGCAAUCUGUAACUUAAAGCCAGAGAUAUUACUUUAUGCAUGGAAAGGAAAGGAAAUGGUAUAUAGAAAGGCUUGAGAGGCCAACUUGACGGCAUACAUACUUAAAAGCGGCAACAUCUAUUAUUGUGUAGCUUCGACCAAAAUUCAACAGAAAAUGCUGUUUAUACACUACUAAAGAAGAAUUAAUGCAAUAGAUAUUAGGAAAGUGUGACUUUAGCUUUCGUCUGAAAUUCUACAGCUGCAUGAAAAUUCCUCUAUACAUCGCAAACUUCAUGCAGGACAACAUUCUGAAGUUGGCGAUGUAUUAUUCCAAAGGGAAAAAGAAAUUGCCAAAUAAGCAGGACUAGAACUUACUUGCACCAUUUCGCUUACAACAUUGAAUCCCCCUGGCCCAAUCACAGACCCUGCAAGCAGGUAUCCGGAAAAUACCUGGAAUUAUGAAUGAAAGUGGGUAAUUGCUUAAAACAAAUCUAAGGAAGAAAAUAAAGCAAAGCACAAGGAAAAUGAUGUAUGAGAAAGGGGGCAACGGAGAAAGCUAAGGAUGUGAGACAAACACAUUGUCAAUGAAAAGCAUAUAGAAAUCAUUUAGGUCUAACCGGUUGACCAGCACAAGCAAAUGCUACUCCCCCGCAAGCAGCAGACACAAUGACAACCACCAGAUCUGAUAUCAAACUGAAAUAUAUAAAAAUGUUAAAUAGAGAGGCAGGUAACGACUGCCCUAAUUGAAUGUGUAAAGUCUGAAGGACCAAGAGGACAGAAAGAUUCGGAUUAAGCUCACGUUAAGUCAAGUUGUAGCACAGGAUAUUUGGACUUCGGAUUUGAUAUGAUAAAGACAUUAUCCUGAAAUUAAGACACCCGAAUAAGCAGAUGUGAAAUUUCUCCAGCUAGCAUGCGUGAGGAUGUAACCGCUAUAGAAUCUCCAAGUGUCACAAUCAGUAUCAUAUACAAUUUCAAGUAAACCAUAUAAAGAUUUAUAACGCAGAAAAUUGAUACUGAUCAUACCUUUCGAUCAAUUAAACGUGCGGCAUCUUCUGCACGAUUGUCAUUGUCCAAAUUGAAAACAUUAUGAAACUGAAAAGACCUAACAUAUUUUCACAGAAUCAGUCUUGUCAGAUCUGCUAGUAAUAUCUUUGAAUUAAGAUCUAUAAGUGCAAUUAAAAAAAUCAAGGGAAAGACAAUACGCUGGAUAUUGAACACAUACUUCUCCUCCUUAGAUUCAUUUUUCUUCGUUGUAACCCUAGCCACUGUCUCCAGAACUGCCUAGUGCAAUGAAACAUUUACAAUUAGGCACCUUUUAACACGAAGAGUUAUGUGAUUAAAACUCUAGUGCAGUUAUAACUACGAAAAUAGCUAGCACUAACAACUACUCACAUCUUAAUCCAAUAUGUGUCAGUCUCUGAAAAAAACAAGUUGGAGUAUCGUGCCAACUCCCACAAUGUCUUGCACUUACUCUGCUAUAGUCUGCCCAUAAAUACAGAACUAAUAGAAUCUACUGCUAUCGAGUACCCAUAACUCUAUUUUGGGUGAAAGGUAACCAUAAAGUUUUAACAGCAGCCAAUAACUUUCAGAAGACCUGCCUAUAUAUGAGUUAAGCAAAACAAAAUCGAAAAAUGUCCAGUAGUCACCUGCUGCCCGGCAACGCUGUUAUUGAAGCUGUCCGGAUCAGUGGCUGCAAAAGCAAAUGCCACCACUUGAUAUGGGUUAUCAAAGCUUCUGAGAAGUCAAAUUAGAGUAUACAAUGACAGGAUAAUUUUCCCAAGAGAAUUUUUGCAGGGUACUAGUGAAGACGGAAUUCAAUCAACAACGCCCGAUCCACCAGCGUCUCCCAGUUCCAAUUAGGAAAUAUUGAGGCAAAUGCAACAGAAUAAUAGAAGAAAGAGGUAAACAAAGACGAGGUGAAAUAUAACUGAAAGAUCACGAGUAGGCUGAAAUCCCUAGUGGUUCGUGAAUUAGAAAGGUCAAAGAAGGAGCAGCGAUGAAGUGAAAAAUGCAGCUGUAUAUGAAGAGAGAGAAAGUUAUGGAGCUCGGAUCCAGUAACAGACCUUCAAUUUUCUCUGUCUCGUUGAACUCCUUCUCCAGUGCGCGAUCGAUCAUGAAAGCGAAGGUGUCCUCCCUGGAUCUGAGUCCAGUAGAGUUGGAAUCUAUGCUUGCAUUUACUUUCGUUGAGUUCCACUCUUCAUGGGCGGAUUCAGAGGGCAAGAAGAAGAGAAGAAGAGCGCAAAGUACAGCCGGAGCUAAGAGCAAUCUCAUUUCCCUCUCCGCCGUUCACAGAGGGAAGAGAGAGACGCCGGAGCGAAGUGGAAAGACGAGAGGGAAGGCGGGUGAACAGAUAUGCGGUGGUUAUGUGUUGGUAGCGGUCUAAAUUAGUCAAAUGGGUCGGUUUUAUGUCAUUUGAGUUAAUGGAAUGGGUUGGAUAAUCACGAACACAAGUUCGGUUGGUUUUUGUAGAUUGAGAAAACUAGUAUUAACCGAUUAAUUAACUUAAAUGGUUUUAUUCACAAUGAAACGAGGUUGGAAAUUUCAAAAUAAGUCAUACAAAAUAUGCAAGAACAAAGUAGGAUUAUUAAUAAACACAAAGGGUUCUUUCUCCGAAGAUUGUAGGAGGUGACAAAGGUUUUUUGUGCGGCUUUCUCUUUUCUGAUGGCAGCGAUGGAGCCGCCGGCGGACUUUCUAUCAGGGCAGCCGAUGGUGCUCCAUGACGUGCUGAAUUAGCUCGAAAUGAAGUGCUCGAUGGAGGAGUGCGGUAGGAUGAUCCAGGGAGUUGAUUCCAAUAUAGAUGGUUGCGUCAACUUUGCAGAGUUUGAGAAUAUAAUUGUGACAAAUGGUGAAGCUACUGCUCUGACAGUGAAUUAGAUUUCCAUUAAAUCGACAUAUCUUUUUGUUAUAUCGGUGUUUCUUUCCUUUUGUAAUUUCUUUUUUGGUUUUAUGAAUUGUGAUGGUUUGAAUUUUGAAUCUAGAAAUCUGGAAAAAAAGAUGAAUAGUGUUGGUUUUCUAGAUUGGAUGGUUGGAGAGGAUUCAUCAAACUAUUUGGUUUUUAACUAAUUUCUCUAACUUCUACUAUAGAUACUCUAAUUUAGAACUUCAAUGUUGGAAUCUGGGUUUAAUGUAGUGAUUGCAUCUCAAUACUACACACAUAGAAUCUGAGUUAUAAGAUUUUUAGUUCUGAUUCACUUACCAAUUCUUAGUAAUUCAUGCUCUGGCUACAAGUAAUUAAUUUAUCUUACACACGCUGUCUUUGGAAUUUUGUUCCUAUAAAUUUGUAUGUGGUUCAAUGAAGAGAUCGGUCGGUUUGUAGUGGACAGGGUGGCAUCAUUUUCCCUGAUAAUCAAUUGGUUACACAAAGUGGAAAUCAAAGCGGUCCCCUCUGAACAUUGAAGCUUUACAACUCACCGAUAUUUGGUGUACCCAUUUGAACUCUCUUGAAGUCCAUGAGAGUGAACUUACAUACCACUAAAUCCAGGGCAAUUUUUUUUAUUUUAGGUGAAUUCAAUCCUUUAUAACUUUGGUGCCUAUUCUUGGAGUUCAAUCUCCAAAAUGAGGGCCAAAUUGUCCCGUUAUAGGAACUCGCUCUCCAUUAUUGUAACCUUGUGCUUCAUUAAUAAUACUAGAAUCAUAUUUUAUUCACAAGGACUGAAUCUUCAAUAAUCUCGAUCAAUAAUCUAUAUCAAAUAAGUUGAAGAGUUGUCGAAUUGUCAUAUGCAUAUGUUAAUCUUAUACUUCAUCUCAUUCAAUAAUAAAAAUCUAAUUUUUAGCAAUUUUAUUCAAAAUCUAUCGUCCAAUUGUUCCCCAUCAACAUACUUAACGUAGGAAAUCUUCAUGGGCAUGUUUGGUAUGAGUGAUAUUGAGUGAUACUGAUAUUCAAUAUAACUCAAUAGCUAGCUAUUCGAGAUAUCUCUAUGUUUUGGAGUUUGAAUAGCUAUUCGGUGAUAUUGAAUAUCACAAUAUUAUUAUAUUUAAUUCUUACCUAUAUGGGGUGAUAUUCAAUAUCACCCUAAUAUCUUUUGAUGGACAUAAUUGCCCCAAGGCAAUUUGAUAAUUACAAGCAAGUGAGGGCUACAAUUGUAAUUUUCUUUGUCCUCGUUAUUAUAAACCAGGACUCACACCACAUAUAAUCACUAUUAAACCGUACCACUCAUAUCCUACACCAAACAAGAAUAUUCAUACUUAUUGAAUUUAAUAUCAAUCACACCUAAUAUCAUGAUAUCUUAAAUAACUAGUUAUUUGACAUAUCACGUACUAAACGAGGCCCAUAUUACAUUGAAUUAAAUAUAUCGUGAAAGUUUCGGCCCGCGGCGCCGACGGCUCGAAAUGUUUCGGAGUCGCCACAAAAAUUUCGAAGCGGAUUGGACGCUUUCGACAUAACCCAAGUCCUUUUGGAUGCAAGUUAGAUCAAGUCUGAGGAAUAGAGAUCCUGGAUUCGGGAGGCAGUUACGUGUGGGGAAGGAUUAGCACCCCCGCAACGCCCAAUAAACCGGUACUACGAAAUUCGAUAAGUUAUGUUUUAGUUUCUUAGUUUAGUGGCUUAAUUAUGCUUUAGUUUGGAUGUGAAAGGUUAUGUAAAAAUUUUAGAAAAUAUUUUUACUCAAUUGUAAGUCUUUAUGAAUUCUCACUCUUGUGAAAAUUUAGUUUAUGUUGGUAAAUAUUUUAGUCGAAUAUUCCUUAUUUAAUUGUUUGGAUUUAUGAUUCCCACUUUUGUGAAAAUUUCGUUUUACGUUGGUAAAUAUUUUUGUAGUUGAAUAUUUUUUGUUUAAUUAUUUGGACUUAAGUCUUACGACUGUCUAUGUACCCAAUUCUUUGGGAUCAAAGUCCAAGUAGUUCGCUUCGAAAAAGUUGAUUUGAAGAUUUUGCGUAAUUUUUACUAUUGUAAAAACAACGUUAUCAUGAUCGUUUUUUAUUAUUUGAUAGACAUUUAUUUGGUUAUUUUGAUGUUGGAAUUUUUAGGAAGAAAAAUCCUCGUGUUACGGUAUUCUGAAACCGAUGGUGCUCACACGUUGAUCGAGAAAUUAGAAACACACGUUUUAAUGUACUUACUUACAAACCUCUUGAUUCCUAAGCCGGUUAUUAUUGUUUAUAAAAUUUAGGGGACUAAUAAAGAUUUAUAUUGAUUUGUAAAUUUGAUAUUUAUUUAUUCUCACUAAUUCUACAAAAACCUGAAACUCUUGUCGGUGAUACGAAAUUCAUAUAACAUUGCUAUAAUAUAUUUAAAGGAUUAUUAUUAAGAAAUUUUCACAUUCUUUGCCAAUUGACAAAUUAAUUGGUUUAUAUCAAUUAACUUGAUUUGACAUAAUUAAAAACGCAUUACAGGACGGGUAACGAACUUACAUUUAAAUAGUUAUGUUAUAAAUAUUUCUUUGACAAUUCUAUUGUCGUUAUGCUAAUUAAAAGGCUACGUUGAUUCGAAUAAUUGUAAACUUUCGAGUUUUUAAGUUCACAACUUUAACUUCUAAAUAUCAAAUAGGAUUAAAGAAGUUAUGACGUUUAUUCUGUUAUUAUUCCACACUUAUUUCAGUUUUAUUCCACUCUUAAUAUGGCCUUAAUGAGAUAUGAAUAUAAUUGAAUCAACUAAAGACAUGGCCUUUCUGAAUCAAUUGGGCCCAAGCUCGAGCUGGGCCUAACCAAACGACGGGCCGAACCGGCGAUUAAGAGGAGGGAAGCCCGUGCGCCAAACCGAUCGAACCGGUUACCCACGGUUCGACUUGAAAGUUAAAGAGACGAAAUUGCCCCUGGAGUUCUGCACGCUAAAGAAGGGAGGCAUGUGCAAUUUCGUAACUUCACCCUAACCAUAAUCGGUCGUAUAAAAUGACCUCUUAAAUCGAAAAAUGGCUCAUUUGCAACUUUCCACUCUCCAAAACCUCUGUCCUCUCUCUAACUCCCAUCCUCUCUUUCCCCUUUUCUUCUUAUUCUUCCUCUCGCCCCCCUCUCCUCUCUCUCUCGACCGACAACAACGAUGGUAGCUACCGCCGCCCAUCCCCCUUUCUCUCUUUUCUUUUUUUGUUCUAUCUUUUUUUUUGUUCUAUCUUUUUUUUGUUCUCUCCUUCUCUUCCUCCCUCUUUUUCUUAUGUUGGUAUUUAAAUUUUUUUCGACUUUGUUAUUUGUUUGCGUUUUUUGGUUAUUUGAGGGUGGAAUCGGUGGUGAGGCACAAGACCGCCGCAGCGAUGCGGUUGAUGACGGCGACGGGAAGGCAUAGAAAAGGAAGAAAGAGAAAGUUAGGAAAAAAAUUUCUUCCCUAUUCCUUUUUAUUAAUCUCUGUUUAAUUACUAACGAAGAUAACUAUCAAUUUCUUUGAUGACUUUUUUUAGGUCUUCAAAAAUAGGCAGAGUCGACUAGUUCUCGAAAAACGAGACGAAAAGGAGAAGAUUGCUUUUUGAGGAGUUAAAGCAGCUAAUUUCGAACUCGUUCUAAUUUUUCUAGGUAGAAGUAACGAUUUUGUUUGUUGAUAAGUUGCCUACGAAACUCGGUUUGUUUUGUUACUGAAGUUGGAGUAGUAGUCUAGGUGUUUUCAAAAGUUCUGUUUGAAAAACUUGAUUUUUUUUGCUAUUGUUUAAAAACAUUUCAGUAACAUUAUUUAGUCGAAAAAUCCGUAUUUUAACUCGAUUGUACUAUGAGUUUCGUAGUUCUUUAGGUCCUUUGGUGCGAAAAUGAUGAAAGAUGGCUAUAUGUUUCUUUGUAAAUAUUUUCCAGCAACUUUUAGUUGAUUUUGAAAGCUUAUUUCAUUGAUUUUUUGAUUUUUUUUGAUUGUUUAUUAAAAUGAAACAUUCAUUUGAUUAGUUGCUAUGAAUCAUUGGAUUCAAGAGUAGUCUAAAAGGUUCUUAAGUGAUAUAGCAUAACAAUGUGUAUGUAUGAAUGAUUGUGAAUGCUUUAGAAUAGGGAUGUUUUGAAUGAUUAUCUUUAAUUCGAAACUUCUCUUGUUGUGUUUCAGGUGGUAGCGCCUAUCGUGAGUGACGACAAACCCUUUUGGCGGCUUUUAUGUGGAGGGCGACUAAAGAUGUUGUAAAACUUUUAUUUUUUUACUGUUUUGUAAUAAUUUCCUAGGACUUUGAAGGUUUGAUGUUGGUGUUUUUUUUUUUGGGAUUUUGGGGAGAAUUAGGGGAAGAAGUCUGAAAAAUGUAAGCUCCGUUUUCUGCUGAUCAUUUUAGUUGUCCAUUUAAAUGUAGAAAAGGGCUGCCACCUCUUCUUUUAACCAAUCACAUCUUGCAACGUUUUCGGACAAAAACAAAAGGUGGCAACUCCCCCAAUUAAUAACAGUAACAUGCCCGAUAUUGGGCCUGAAAUUGGGUCGAACACAUAAAUCGUUUUGAGAUAAGGGAUUUUGCUGAAUUUUGAGAUAGCAGGCUUGAGGUCCACUCAUUUCAACCGUUUCCGUUUAAAAAGAUCUAAAACAAAAUCAGCUUAGAACAAUCUAUAACGUAAGAAUUACAUCUAGAAAACAUACUAUUUGGCUACCAAGUUCUCCCCUAACGUGCACUUUGAUUAAUUUAAGUGAAUAAACUUCGUAACAAGUAAAAUAUCGGCGCCAAACCCUUGCUAGAGAUACUACGACUAUUUAGUGAAAUUGAACUGGCGUGAAUUCUUCACCCAGACGAAAUUUGGUUACUACAGUUGUCCCACUUUGUAUUACUUUUGCUUGGAGGCGGAAAGUGGUACAAAGACAAAACCAAAAUUUAAGACAAGCGCCCGAACUUCUUACGUCAAGUCCACUAGGGUCCAAGGAUCUGUCACAACAGUGGGUAGAAAACAAAAUUUGCAACCUGACCAUGGAAACAACAUGCAAUGCACUUUUCCAUGGGUGGCAGGGUGAAUGUAUUAGGGACUCAGCUUUACUUAUCUCACAUUCCAUGGGUUGAGUAUACUAGGGUCUGAGCUCGACUUAUCUCUCGUUCCAAGGUGCGAUCCGCUUGCCCCAUGAUGCUAAGGGUUGAUGUACUAGGGAUUCAGGUUGACUUAUUUCCCGUUCCAAGGUGUGAUCCGCUUGCCCCAAGAUGCUAAGGGUUGAUGUACUAGGGAUUCAGGUUGACUUAUUUCCCGUUCCAAGGUGUGAUCCGCUUGCCCCAAGAUGCUAAGGGUUGAUGUACUAGGGAUUCAGGUUGACUUAUUUCCCGUUCCAAGGUGUGAUCCGCUUGCCCCAAGAUGCUAAGGGUUGAUGUACUAGGGAUUCAGGUUGACUUAUUUCCCGUUCCAAGGUGUGAUCCGCUUGCCCCAAGAUGCUAAGGGUUGAUGUACUAGGGAUUCGACUAGACUCAUUUCCCGUUCUAAGGUGUGAUCCGUUUGCCCUAGGAUGGUAAGGGUUGAUGUGCUAGGGAUUCAGCUUAACUUAUUUCCCGUUCCAUGACUACAAAUGUGUUGAUGACGAAUGGUUUUGAAAGAGUUUGAGUAAGGCUCCCCCUUUUUGAAAAACAAAACACACAUGUGAUGGUGAUGCUUGAUUGAUAUUUGUCUUCUUUUUCACUCCGAGGAGAUUGACUAUUUUGUAGAAAACAUCUUCCCAAGUGUUAGAAACUGUGCUUUGUUCAUAGGUCCUCCCAGGGCCGCUCGUUGCAACAAGACACAAUUUUUGCUGAUGAUGAACAUCGUGGUGGAUUUUUCUAAGGUAAAUGUUGACAGGAUAAUCCGAGUUUGAUAUAAUAAUUUCACUCAUUUCAACCAUUGCCCCCUUUUGCUUGGAAUGUUGCCUCCAAACACAGGGGGAAGAAGAAAAUUGAGUAAUAAAGCCUGGGAAAGGAUCCAGAUAAGAGCGAGAAGGAAAUCGAGGAAAAAGAAGCUUUCACCGCAACAAAGGAUGAUGACGGUGAUGGAAAGUUUUGCAAAAGGCUGAUAGGAUAGGUUGGUUUUCCGAGUCCAUUAUUCCAUGAUUUAAAGAUGAAGGAUCUCAGUUGAGAUUUGUCCUAAAAAGAACCAAAAUAAACAGAAUCUCUAUUUGACGCCCUAAGUUUCGCAUUAAACGACGCCCUAACUUGAGUAAAUUACAAUAUUAUCCUUUCGUAAAAUCGAAAUCCAUAUAAGUUGUGUGUAUUGACUAGCUCAAACACAAUCAAACACUCACAAACACUCUCAAACGUUGAUCCGAAGAAAAAAUCGAAGUUCGGAAGCGAACGUGACAAGUACGAAACUAGUUCCGGCCGGCACUAGCUUGGGCCGAAACGAGCGGCCGGCCGGCCCUUUUUUUAAUUAAUGAAUUUAAUUAUUAUGAUUAGUAUAAUUAGAGAAUUUUUAGGGUAUGUGUAAUUAGAGAAUGUUAGUGAAUAUAUAGAAUAAUUAGGUAAUUGUUAGUGAAUAUUUAUGAAAAUUAGGGUUUAGGGUUAGGGUAUUAGGGUUUAGUUAGGAAUAAUAAGAGAACCUAAUUUAGUAGAAUCCGAAUUUUAUUAGAAACGUUCAUUUGUUUAAAUGCAGUUGAGUGAAAAAUAUGGCAAACACAAAAGGCGGAGGUAAAUCGCACAGUCGAGAUCCAGUAGAGGAAGAAACUGAUGGGAUCCAGAAAAUGAGAGGGAAAGGAAAACAAACGGGCAUUUUAGAUCGGAUGUAAGAGCGAGUAAUCACAUCUUUGAGGCGGAAAGAGGGAGAGGCAGCGAAGAAGAACAAGAAGUUGAAAAUCUAUGGCUCCCCUAACCGGUACCCUCCUGUUACGUACCCGAUUAGGUCGUAUCCGGAAGAUGAUGACGAGGAUGACGGUCCACCGCCGGGGUUUGUGUACAAUGACACACAGACUUCCGUCCACAUGACUUCUCCGCACAUGGCUUCUCUGCACACGACCUUUCCGCACAUCGCUUCUACAGGCUCGUCACAUGCCUCCGCGAGUGUUGGCGUGAGAGGAGGGAAACCUAGCCGACUUGCGCGGGUCCGAGAGGAGGAUGCUGCCAGUGGAGUGGACUGGCAGGGACUGAGUCGUACCUGGGGGCUUACAGAAGUGCUCAUCCCGAGUCAGUGCAUCCAAGGAACAUUAAUACCGUGUGAACAAUUUGAUUAUUUGGAAAAAAUUAUUACAAGAUAUCGUUAAAAAUUUCGACAAAAUUUCGGCCCGAACAAAAGUUCCGACGGAGGACCUCCCAGCGGGCUCGAUCUAAAAAAUUGGCCGCAAGGGGCCCCGACCGGAAGGUCGUUUCGGCCGGAGGGAGCCCCGGCAGGCCGGCGGUUUCGGCCAGGCCGAAACAACCUUCCGGACGGGGCCUCUUGCGGCCGAUUUUUUCGAUCGAGCCCGAUUUGUGUUCACCGAAUUGUAAGGAAAAAAGUACCGUGAGAGGUUUUCGAAAUAAAUAUUUUGAUAGUUUCGUCAGUACAAAGUUUCUCGAAUUAUAAAUUUUGAUAGUUUCGCCGAUACAAAAUUUUUUGAAUUAAUAAAUUUGGAUAGUUUCGUCUUUCCUAAAUUUAGAGUGACAUAUAAUUCGAAAGUUAGGACGUCAAAUAAUAGUUCUCAAAAUAAAACCCCUAAAAUUUACUCAGAUCAAAUUUUGUCCAAUAAAUCUAUAAGGGUCAAAAUCAACAUUUUCCCUUCACGCGUGUUUUUGUUCUUCCGGGCAGACGAUUUUACCACACUUUUUUGGAAGCCAGAUUUUGGCCACGAGAUUUAUUAGAUGGCUCAGGAUUGCCCUGGACAUGCUGGAAUCCAAAAUCCAAGAUUAUAAACCGCUCUCCCUUGGUUGCAGCCUAAUAUUAUCCAGUGAUUAUUCCAAUCCUUUCCUUCCUGAUCCAAAACCAAUCUGCAAGGCUCCGAUUGCAUUUGCAUGUCUGCAAGAAAUUAUUAAAAAUUUCCAUUUUGCUAACCAAAAUGGUAUAUCGUUUUGGACUGUUGCACAAUCCAAACACACCUAUUUCAGCAGUUGCCAAUCGAAUAGGUAUUUCUCCCAGCUUCUGGGUUUCACCUAGUCUCUGUGCUUGUGGGUUCGCUACUGUCCACGGCAAAAGCAGGUUUACCGCAAACCGCAGGCUUGUGAUAGGCUUGGGAGCUUCGUUUCUCUCACAGUUUCUUGGUAUGGCUGGCCAAGUCAGUAAUGUCAAGCAUUUCGUUGCCUCAGCUAGGCAGAAGGGUGCCGUCGAAGAAGUAAAAUUUCUUUAACCCUUCUAUUUGCUAAUUUAGCAGAUUUCAGCGCGGUUAUAGAAUUCACAUUCUGUGUUUGCUCAAACUUUGGAUUAGUAAUUGACUACUUUGAUCGAGAUGAAUAAAUAUGCAAGUCCAAAUUUUAGGAAACCUUACUGACUUUGGAUUUUGGGGAAUUUUGAUUUAUUGUACCAUGUCUGUACUGAGAUUGGACUGAAUCCAAAGGAAUGUUGAAGAGUACCAAAUGUAGGUAGUUAGCUGAGACGAUUUCUGAGAAAUUGGUAAAUAACCAGCUUAUCCUAACAUUUGAUAAAGUUCAGAUUGGGAUAUAUACAUAUAACAUUGCAAAUUUCUAUGAUUGAGAAUUAGGACUUUCGGGUAAGUUAGGAAGGAUACAGUUUAUUAGUCUCUCUCCCUCUUUCUCUCUAUGCUACUGGAGUAUUACUAUUUAUUUAUCCCUUAAUGCUCUUGAUCUAAGUAGGUAUUGAAGAAUGUUGCUUGGCCGGAGCAGUUCCCCUUCAAGGAGGAAGAUUUUCAGAGAUUUGAUGAGUAAAGCCUCCUCCAAACUCUUAUCUUUCACUCCUGAAUUUCAAGCUUCGAGUUGGUAACAUGUUUGAUCUUCCUUGGUGGCUUUGGAAACUGUUAUACAGUUUGUAGUGUGUGUCGCAUACCAUACCUGCUCUGCCUCUGCUAGACGUUCACAUGUCAAUCCAUAAUAGCACAUGAAUCAAAGUAGAUCUUUCAAUGACUUGUUAAUCAAGCGAGUUUUGAAUGAACAUGUGCUGUAAAUUGUUAUCAUUGCCCAAUUAGUGCCUUAAGUUACUCCAAAGCCUUUGAAUCUGUGUUUAUCUAGCUUCUUUCAUGAACUCGUGCACUCAGGUCAUCAGAUACAUCGUUCUAUGAAGCUCCACGAUUUGUUACACACAUUGAUGAUCCAGCAAUUUCCGCACUGACAAAGUACUACUCAGAGGUUCUCCCUCCUAGCAAUACCCUGGGAGUAAGCAUCUUGGACAUGUGUAGCAGUUGGGUAAGUAACUAUCUUGUGUUUGUAAUAGUAUCCUUUAUUCCAUAAUUAUCUGCUCUAGUCAUUCUCAAUAGAAUCUUUGCUCAUGAUUUUGUGUUUAGGUCAGUCAUUACCCAAAAGGAUACAAGCAAGGUCGUAUAGUUGGGAUGGGAAUGAAUGAAGAAGAACUCAAACGGAAUCCUGUAAGGUUCUAAGUUGCUAAGUGUUAGUUUGGUAGUUUUACAGUCACUUGGAACAUCUUCCAACCAAUUACUGUGCCAUUGUUGCAGGUUCUGACAGAGUACAUCCUGCAAGAUCUGAAUGUGAACCCAAAACUGCCAUUCGAUGACAAUUCAUUCGACGUGAUUACUAAUGUGGUAUGCCUUGAACAUUUGGACAGACAAGUGUUGGGAAUUAUGACACUGGAAGUUGAAAGCUUUAUGUUUUCACAAACAGGUCAGCGUGGAUUACCUGACAAAACCACUCGAGGUAUUCAAGGAGAUGUGCCGCAUACUGAAGCCAGGUGGAGUAGCCAUAAUGAGGUAAAUUAUAUCAAGCAGUUGUGCAUGUUAACUAAAGAAACAAUGAUCAGAAAAAUUGUGUAUAUCGAAAUAGUUGAUUUCGUCGUUCUUUCUAACAACACCUUUGAUAUUAUCAGCUUUUCGAACCGUUGCUUUUUCACGAAGGCAAUCUCAAUAUGGACAUCAACUGGGGAUGCUGAUCAUGUUAUGAUUGUUGGGUCAUAUUUCCAUUAUGCUGGAGGGUUUGAACCGCCUCAGGUGAAUGCUAUUUUCUUUUUGGUUUCCGGAAAAAGGCUCAAGUUACAAGUUUGAUAUGUUGGACUGAAAUUGAUUUCAGGCUGUGGAUAUAUCUCCAAACCCAGGACGUUCAGAUCCAAUGUACAUUGUUUACUCUAGGAAGGCCUCCCCAGAGGUUUAGGAGUGAGAUUGGUCCAAGCUUCAGAGUCAUGGAUGAAAGGCUUCAAUAGCUUCAUCUGUUCCAAAUUGUUUAAUUAUUACCUUUCGUUUCGCCGAUUCACGUAGCCACAUCAGAAUACUACAUAUAUAUAUAACUUUGAACUGUUCCGUUUCCCUUUUUCGUGUAUCCUUCCCUUGUAAGAAACAAGCAUGAAUACAUUUUAUAUAAUUCUGUAUGGAACUACUGCAAUGUGCUGAUGUUAAAGUUAGGUGAGAUUCGGUCGGUGCAGGCAAGAGUCAGUGUGCCAGUGGAUGGUGAGCAGUAAACGAGAAGAAUCCAAUUCCCAGUCAAGUUAUUUGCCAAAACAAUAUGGGAUAUGAUAGCAUGACAUUGCCUUAUUGUUUAUUCCAUCUGUCAGUUUCACAAGUGGAAGUGGGUGUGGGGAAAAAAGACAAAAACACACAUUUUUGGUUCGUUGUAUUCCAAUAUGUCCAUCCACAUAAUUUAAAGUAGACGGAAUAUUUACAGCACCAACACCAAUAGACAAAAAGAAAACCAAAGUUAAAUCGGCAAAAUCAAUGCAACUGACGGUGGAUAGUGGGAGCAUUGAUACAUUACAAAUUGGAUAGUGGGAGCAUUGAUACAUUACAAAUUGGAAUACCGAUGCCUUUUUUCAUGUUCUAGUUCUACCAUGCAACAACUUCCUCUAGCUAAUUUUGGGUAGCGGGUUACUUGGAAUUAGCACGGUGUGAGGGACCCAAUUGUGCAUUCUUGAAAGCAAAGCAAGCAACCACAUAGACGAAGAUGAGGAGAACUAGAGCUACAAUGAGAAUGGUAUUGAUUUUCCUCCCUUCUCUCCUCAGGUUGCCUAACAACCCUGCUUUGCACGAGUUGCAGUUGUAGCACAGCUGCUUCUGGUCGUUGCUCCACAUGUAGCAGUCUGGAUCCGCUGUCGGGUUUGUCGGGUUCACCCACAGGGUCGGGUUCACGUAAUUGUACCCACAUACCGUUGGAGGCUUGCAACACCCCGACUGUACGUAGUAAAUAACAUCGUUUAGAAACAUGUACAAAUUGAAAUCUUACUACUACUAAAUCUUAUUGUGGUUACUAGUCUAAUUAGUACAAAUUACCGCUCCUACUACUGUAAGAUCAUAAAAUGGUGGGUCCUACUUGCACCAUCUAUGGCUGUCGUAUUCUAGCAACUUCUCUGAAUUCCCUCCGAAGCUAGAGAAAUAGCUUCUUGAUCCAAUUUAGAAAACCCAUACAAAUCUCCGUCCUCUAAAAAUUAGAUUCUAGAUCUAACAGCUGAAAUUACAGGGCCAAUAUUGACAUUUCACAACCAUACACAUGUGUAUAAUAAAUAUUGUACUAGUUACCAAAUUAAGUAUUACGAUACCUAGUACCGUAGUUAUUAUAAUACUUAGUAUUACACUUUGUAUAAAAGCCAUGCAAAUGUGUAUACACUCUUAUAUACGGGUUUGUAUACCCCUAUACACAUUUGUAUGAUCCGUACAUCUCUCCGUACAAAGUUGUACAACUAGUCGUCGGAAAUGUUUUCUAGAAACGUAGAGCCAACGACGGUGAUCAGGUGGGUACAAAAAUUUAAUAUUUAUUGGGUGGCCAACAACGGAGGUUAGAAUCGCUAGGAAAUUGAUCGGGUAACUUUCCAACGAUCGGAGAUAGCUGGAUUUUUGGUCAAACAAGUAUAUUUAAAACAACAUGACUAUAUUACCCCUGAUAAAUCUUAACCCUUAGAUCAUAUGGAGAACCAAGGGCUUAAAUUGCUCCUAGAUCAAAUCCAAAAAGCAAUGUACCGGAUCCAAAAUCGGACUCCUUCCUUAGGAUGCUUUAAGGUAAAAAAACGACAAAUCAUUAGAUAGAUUGGUGGUGGGCUUAAUUUGAACUAUUCCUUAAAUUGCGGGUUGCCAUACUCUUCUCUCGGCAGGAAAGUGAAAGAACAGACUAGUCCCCUCCUGAAGUAAAUGCUGCUACUGCUUCCUAAUUUUCCACAAAAAGUCAAGGGUAAGUGAAGAAGAAGUAACUAAACCUGGAUAGGAGAGAUGUGACCGGCAAAGAAGUGGUCAGCAGAGAAGUAUCUCGUGCCCAACUUUGGACAAGCACUUGAUUCAGCGAGGCAAGCACGAAUGCCAACCCAGUCUCUGGAGUCAACGACAUGAUCCCUGAGCCAGGAGGAGAACCCUUCGAUUCGAAACUCCUUGUAGCCACGGCCAGGGAUGUAGACGCUGCCAUCAGGACGAGUGACCACGAAGGCGAAAACCAGGAGUACAAGGAGAAGGAUGAUGAGUAUGGCCAUACAGCAGAGGUAGAAGGCCAGCAGGGAUUCCUUGUAGCAGUAGCCGCCGACGAAGCCAGUGAGGGAGACUACUAGGACAAGGACUCCGAGGAGGACGAGUGGCCAACGGUAGAAGUGGAUGCACUCGUUGUCAGGUUGGGAUGCCAGCCAUAUUCCGGAUGCUAUUAUUGGGAUGGAACAUAGGAAAGCUAUCAAGUUUAGGAUUGCUGUUAGGGUGUUUGAUACUGCCAUUUUGGUUUCGGGGGAAAGAGGAAAGGCUAGAGAUCAGGGUUUUUGACGACUGUUUGUUGAGGCUGGGAGGAAGAAAGGUGUGGAUUUUAUAUAGCCCGAGCCUUUUAAUAGACAAGAUCAAAAAGGGAAAGGAAGUGAAAUGUUAUUUCUUUAAUAUUAUACUAGUUUUUUUAACGCGUGCGAUGCCACUUACCUAUUAGUUUAUCAGUGGUAUGUGUUUUUUCAUCGCCCGUGAUGUGUGUGCUUGUGCUUUUAGUAUGGUGUUUGGCAGGCAGACAUAAAAGACGAUGCAAAGACUGUGCUUUCCAUACUCUCUCGGAGGUGCACCAGGUGUGUUGUUGAUGAGGUUGUGGUUGGUGAGAUCCUCUCAUAUCUGUCAGAAUGUGUUCGCAGUCAAAUUCAGGUGGUUCGGCGGGUUACCAACAGAGCUGCCCAUAAAGUUGCCCGACAAGCUAUUUCAUAUCUCCCGGUCGUUUGGAGGCCGAUCUCACGACUAGGUGUGUUGGCUAGUGGGGUUGUGGUUGUUAAGAUCCUAUCUUAUCUGUCAGCAUGCCCUGACAUUCAAGUUCAGGUGGUUCAGCGUGCCGCCAACAGAGCUGCCCAUAAAGUGGCCAGACAAGCUCUUUCUUAUCUCUCGGGUCGUGUGGAGGCCGAUCUCAUGACCUGGGCUGAUGCUUAGGUUUGUUUAUUUCUUUCUAUCUUGUUCCUCCUCUCCUAGAGCUACCUAUGACCAAAAAAAUAGUGGAUGGCCUUCUAUCUUAAAAUUUCCCACCAAUGAAUAGUGGAUGACCUUCUUGCUUUAUAUAUCUUAAAUAUAUAUUAGAAAACAUAUGUAUUUCUGUUCCCUAUACGAUACCAUUUUAACAAAUGAUACUCAUCAGUCUAAGUCGCCUUGGAUUCAAUUAAUGAGUUGGUUUGUUGAUGGAGAACAAUAUAAUUUGGCGUUUUUCAAUGGAUCUCUUUGAUGUCCACUGGAUAGUUUUCUAUAGCAGUGUAGAUACGUAAGUAUGAGAGAAAUAUGUAGGGAUGUAAACGAUUGAGUAAGAAUGAGAGAGGAAGAUAGAAAGGUAUCGGUCAGGUGCCCCUUGAUGUGCAUUGGGCCUAAGGCGCUUCUCGAGUUGAAUUAGACAAUUUGGGGGUAAGUGAGAGGUCUCUCCCCACAAUGAAUGUGAGGUAUGUCCUUUUAUAGUAGUCUCGAGGUCUGAGUUGAGCCUCCACAUGGCAAGAUCCUGGUGGUGAAGCUACUGUGGGAAGAUCUAGUCUCGAUGUUUGAUAUGCUUCUACUCACUCUUAUGUCUCAUGGUCUAGUGCCUCAAAAUUUGAAAGGUUUUUAUAUCUAAACUAUAUAAAAAAUGCAACGAAAGAACAACGAGACUAAACCAAACAAGCAAGACACAAAAGUUGAUCAAAUCGGAGAAGUUAUAUUACUUGGAAAGGAGAUUAUCUAGUUCAAAGUACCUAAAAUUCAAGUUGGACACAUAAGACAUCGGUUAUGAACUUAUGUUGACGAACUUCCACUUGGCAUUCAAAGGAAGUUGUGUUGUGGUCUUUUACACAACCUACCAUCACUAGACCAUCACUCAAUUAAGGUUUGGUCCACUCCUCAUCAGACUAUCUCUGUUGAGCGCGCCAACGCGUCGCCCGGCCAUCGGUAACCAGCGUGUUUCUUGGUGGGUCCGACAUGGCAACGGUAGUCUCUAGUAACUCUUCCUCACACUCUCAGAUUUCAAUUAGUGAUUUUUUUUAUGAAGUUUGAACCUAGUUUUCUGCCGCUUGCUCCUCUAAAUCACCACGCCUCCAGGCCGCAUCUCCAGUCGUUACUCUCUGGUCGUUCAUCUCCUCCAGUCGUCCACUCCAUAUUUCGCAGGUAGUCUACUCCUCCUCCUCCGGUUCGGAUUAGGUUAGAAAUAUUGUUGAUCUAGGUUAUUGAGUUUGGGAGCUCGAGUUUAGUAUGGUAAGGGGUAGGGGAUUUGAUGUUUGGCUACCAAUCGAUUUAUUGUCAUUGCAGCCAUGAUAGAUACUGUUUAAUACUUUCAUUGCAGCCAUGAUUUACUUUCAAAGUUCACCUCCUCGCCAUCUAAUUCUGACUUGUAGUAGCUCUUUGGUAAAUUGUAAAUAUAGAGUGCCAUUCGACUCUACACUAACAGUUGAGAAUGCAUAUAGACAAUAUAUGCUUUUUAUUAUUAGGUUAUGUUUAAAAAUUUUCAAGUCUCACUCAUCAGUAGUUUAAACUAAAUGGUUUUAGGGUCAGAAUAAACAAGGUGCCUGAAACAGUAAUUUGAUAACAUUCACGAGAAUAAAGUUGGUUACCUAGCAACCCAGAGGGUACAUAUGACAUGGGUGAUGAGGACGACCAAGUGUGCAUACCAAUUACCAGUCAAAAUUUGCUUAUAACAAAUAGCAUUCCUGACUUAGAAAUCGCCAAAGAUGGUGUUGCAGAUUUUGAUUAAAUGACUUAUGAUACUAUACCAAGUAGGGUGACAAACUAUGUGUUUGACGUUGAUGAUGAACCAUGCAUGAUGUUGAUUAAAUGACUAUCAUAUACUUAGUUUGUUUCAUUUGUAGUUAUGUAUGAUGUUGAUAAUGAAACACAUAUGGAGGAUGGUUCGGAUCAGGAUGUGAAUGACAACAUCGUAGUCUCGACUGUUCCACCGGCGCCAGAUUAGGUUUCUGGGCAUUGAUUAUUACCUACGUAGUUUUGUCACAAAUUUAAUUUUCAUUCGAAGUUUGUAUUUUUUGAGACUUUUACUAGUUGUUCUUUUUGUCACUUUCACAAAUCUUGAAGGGAACGAGACACCGACAUGGGUUAAGACCAAAGAUUUAGGGAAGCACUUGAUUGAUAGGAAGAGGAUUAAGUUGAACUUGAUUAUUUUUAUAGUUUCUAGAUAUUUUCAUAAAUAAAACAACAAAACAUUAAAAAAAAAGUUCGAUUAUAUAACGAAAAAUUUAUAAAUUAUUAAUUGAACACCGACUUUUUCUAGUCAAACAUUUCGGUCUGUCCCGAGAAGUAGAAAGAAUUACAACUCCCUAAUGGUUCACUUAAGCCAGGUCCUAAUGAUCCUAGUCAUUUCCUUGGUCAAUCUUUGGUGAGCUAGAUCGGGACCACUCAGUUUACCCCAUCUCAUACCCUGAUUGGAGGUGCAUGCCAAAGACCAUCAAAGAUAGAGCAUGGGAGACAUUGUUUGUGGUAAGUCUUUAGCUUUAAAUUGUUUACUUUCAACAAAAUUUAACAUGCUAAUAAUUGUUUACCAUAUGAAUUAUAGUCUAAGUUUCGUGUGAAUGACCAUGAGAUGGCGACAGUUAGACAUUACUCUGAGGUUGUGCUUUCAGAGAGAUGGAGAACGCAUAAGACAAAGUUAUACAAAGAUUAUUAUAAAGAUGUGGAAAACCUUUUCAAUGAAGAGAAGAGGGCAAAGCCACCACAAGGCAUCUUCCUAUGAGAUUGGAUAAAGUUUUUGGAUAAUGUGCACUCAGAGGAGAAACAGGUUAGAGUAAUGUCCAUGUUUAGAACCCAUGUUUAAUCAUCCAUUAGUUGAUAGCUUGUUGUUGCUUGAUAAGCAAAAGCAUCGGUGGGGGUAUUGUUAUCAAUUAAUUAACUUUUGCGAUCUUCAAAUAAUAGAAAUAAUGGGAGACAAAUAAGAAGAACGUUAAGUCCAAUAAGAUUCAUCACCGUGGUGGUUCUCGUCCUCAUAAUCGAUGAAAGAAAGCCUAUGAGGCCAAAACUGGUGAGCAUGCAUCAAGAGGAACCAUGUUUGUACAUCUUCAUAAGAGGGAUGACGGAUACACUUCGGAUGUUGCUCAAGUUGUUGGAGUAAGUCGGUAUAAAAUAAUGAGUAAAAUAAUUUCAUAAAAGUUGAGACAAGACUACUAUAUAUUUGUUUACAUGUAUAGGACAAGAUUGAAGAGAUACAUGCAUCGAGGACGAUCUUAAGGAGGUAAGUAAUGAGGACGCAUAUGCCUUAGCUAUAAAUAAACCUAAUCGUCUUGGGAGAGUUCGGGGAUUCGGAUAUGGCGCCAAGAUCGGAAAGAAGUCCUCAUGGCAGCCCAAAUGAUCAAAUGGAGAUGUAGAGUAUGUUUGAACUUUUGGAGAUAGUUUGAAUUGUUGGUAGAUACUAUGAAUCGUUGAUAUAUAUUUUAAACAAUUAGUGUAAUUAGUAGUUGCUUAGGGGCAUCUAUGUGUUUCGAAAUCUGAUGUUGAAGAUGUUCGGUUCCUAAAUGUUAUGCAAUGAUGCUUGGAUUAUUUAUGUGUUAUGUAUUUUAAAUUUUGUUGACUAGGUGCCCGUAAAACGGACGAUUAAUUAAUGCUGGGUAUUAAUAUUUGUGGAAGUUUUUUCUUAAAUUUAGUCACGGUUCUGAUUUCAAACUGUAACUAAGUUUUCGUCAACCUCCGUCCAAACCUGUCACAUGAAUGAUAUGACCGUGACUAACUUUCUAUCGAAACUAACAAAAGCUCGAUCCACUACAUUGUCACAGAAAUUUGAAAACUGUGACGCACUACCCACGGAACGGGAACCGUGCUAACUGGUCACGGAAAUAAACCGUGACUAGGUUGUUACUGUUUAUUUCAGUGACCAGUUAGUCACGGUUUUGUUCCAUGGGUAGUGAGUUCCGGUUUUUUAAUUUCUGUGACAGUGUAAUCUAGCAUCGGUCAAUUUGGUCACAAAAUUAUUUUCGUGACUAACAACUGCUAAUCAUGGUUAAAACCGUGACUAUCUUUAGUUAAAACAAUGAGCAAAUAAUUAUUUCCUUGUAGUGUACUGCUACAUCAUUUUUAAUUGCAAUUCUACACUUCAUCAUCAAACUAUUCUCAUCCAUACAAUUCAAAAAACAUUUGCAAAUGUGGGACCCAAUAAUGCAUUAUAACCAUAUCAUCUCUAUUAUACAAAUAUAUGAAUCAUGCUCAUCUUUGAGGAUCAUGUUGUGCAUAAUUAUACAUGCUCUUAUCUCCGAUUAUAUACUUACACCACCUUUACGACGGGCCAUUAACAAUAGCAAAUCGUAUUUGACCACCGAUUUCUUCAUUGAUAAAGCAAGAUGAAACAUUGAGUACAUUGGUUCCACAACAGUAGGUGUUUCCUAAGUUAGGAAAGAAGGGAAAAGCAGGUAACUGAAUACAGUUAGAGUUUUUUGUAUCCUUGAAAACUUUACGAUCAUGAUUGGCUCUAGACACAAACAAAGACAAAACUUGUUAAAAGUCUACCCCGACUCGACAAAACAAUAAAGAAAUACUAAUUGAUAACGAACAUCAAACUAACAAACGCUAAGGGGUAGCCAGCCUUCUUUGCUCCACAGUGGCAUCGACCGGCCCUCCACAAAGUCUAGCUUUAUGCGGCUGGGCAAGUCGCCUCAAGAAGACUCGCUUGUAGUUCAAAACCUGGUGGAAAGAUGUCCUUUCUAGGAGAUUUUGCUUGUCUAUGAUGGUCUUCCUCUGCGUCCAUCAGGUUUCCAUCGUCGUGCAAUUCUUCGCCCCCCACGCUUACAGACUCCCCGAGUGUCCAUCAUAGUAACAUCUUCCUUGAGCGCCUUUGGCCUAUAGCCUUGUAGGUCUUUAGCUUACCCUCUUUGUCUUUGACUGUAGCUUCCAAUCUAGCCGAGAGAGUUAGUAAUGAUUGAUCCACAUUUGCUUCCUUGGACUCUUUAUGCUUGUCCUCCUCGCUCACAGCUCCCCGGAGCCACUUAGCCGCAAUCCGCUCUUGUUCCUUUUGUUUUUUAACCCGAAGGAUAUCACUCCAUUUGCACACAAUUUUGCCCGCCGGUGUUCUGAAAAGCAUAUCGCAGUACUUAUCAACAUGUCCAUGGAUGCCACAAAUAUAGCAAAACUUUUGGAGUCAUUCAUCCCGAUAUUCGCAUACAGCACUGACUCCGCCAUGGAGGCUGACUUUCUGCUCACGACGAAGAGGUUUUCGAUUGUUGAGUACCACACGGAUGCGGAGAAACACAUCAACCUUUUGUUUCUUGCGAUUUUCCUGAUCAUAAUCAGUAAAUUCACCGCCGAAGUUCCCCAUGAAUUGUCAAACAUCUUUCGAGAAAUACCUUACUGGUAAGUCAUGUAUUUAGAUCCAGAACGGCACCUUGUACUGUUCCACCUGCUUGGGGUCCUCUCCAAUUUUUAGCUCAUGAAGAAUCGGUAGGCUGCCGUUAUAGUGCCACGGUCCUUGACGCAUGAUUCCUCGGACAUCUAGCUCAUGGUGAAAUCGAUAUAAAUACCGACCUCCCUUCAGGUCUUCAACGUCCAUCGCACAACCCGACUUCCAGCUGAUAGCCAUAGUUCGUGACAUCGCCGCGAAAUUGAUUUGUUUAUCCCCCAGAAAGGAACAGACGAGGCAUAGGGGAUACGCUUGUGGAGGCGCACUGGAUCAACUCCAUUAACGCCAACUCCUCAUCGUGACUCACUCAGCUUUAGAUUUUCGAUCGAAAAUUGAGUACGUCGUCCACUGAAGGCUCUGUAGCCGCCGGAGGUCUUUUCACUGCCAAAUUGAAGUGGGUUUUCUAAUGACCAAACGUUUCAAAUGAUUUCCCUCCAAGAUUGAUUUCCAACCCUACCCCAUAUGAGAAAUAAAGGCGCCCAUAAACCAGCCCUCCUGACCCGCUCCAUUCGAAUAUAGCAUUGUUGUAGGGUUUUAGCCGAUGCAUGACGUUUUUAAAUGAAAAAUAAAUAAAAAAGUUAAUUAACAAAAAAACUAUUCGAGAUAUGACACCAUACAAGCCCUGAACAAUUUGAAAUGCUUUCAGUUUAUCAGCAUUAUACUAGUUCAACCCAUAAAACCUUGAAACUACUAUAACUCAAAGAAAGCAGAGCUGGCAAAGCUGCAAUAAAGAAUCCUUGCAUAUACUUCCUUCGAGCAAAUAACAGAUACGAUAACCACAGCAACUAAAUUGCUCUAAAUAAUGACAAGCAAGGCUCUAAUAGGAAAAGCGAUGAAAACGUGUCCAUCUUUCCAUGAAGAGGAUGAAGAUGUUUAACGACGUAAUUGUGAAACCAGCAGCAUCCUAAAAUGCUUCAGGCAUAUCAAUUAUUGAUGUCUCAGCUUCAAAAAUUUUGCAUAAUAAAAAAUCUGCGAGUGUCAGCAGCUUCUUUUUAAUCAACGCAGAUCAAAGUACUGAAGCUUACAUCCCAAACAAACAUGGAGAACUAUAUUCUCAAGGGUAGUAGCCGGUGAAGGUGAAUCCCCUCCCAAUGAUUUCACCAGCACAAUACCAUGCGAAGCACUCAAGUCCAAACAAUGCAGCAACUCCUGCGUCCUCAACCUUUAGCUCCUGCCUGUUCUUCCAUAAGUUCUUCACGUAGUCCAGCUCCUUCCAGAAUGCUUCAUUUCUUCCCGGGAUACUGUUCACCAACAAAAUUAACCCUUGUAAAAAACAAAGCUGAUUUCAUCCAGUUCGCCUCACUUACUGCCACAUAUUCACACAAGAUGAUUUCACUGCUACUUCUGCACCACCCCAACUACCCAGUACAGAAUAGGUUUUCCUUUCACAAACUGAACUUAUCACAUAAUACGUACGUUAUGACCAGUAACAGACACAUUUAAGGAUUAGUAUUUUGUAUGCUAAGCAUCCUUCCAUUGUGUGACAUAAAGAAUAAAUGUUUUUACUUUUUUACUAGAGUUUCACAACUAGAUACUUGAAUACCGUUAUUGUACUCAUAAGAUCCUGAUAUUACUACUCAUUCAAGUAGGAUAUUUGAUAAUGAGUAAUACUCAAAUAAAAAUGCAAAACCAAGCAAAUCACUGAACACAAAGUAUCGUCAUCAAAACAUCAGUUCAAAUGACUUGGAGUGAUAUCAUUUGAAGGUCCAAAGAAAUACAAUCGUCAAUUGGCGCCCAGCUAUUUUUUGCAAUAAUCAUCAAUAAUCAAGAACAAAAUAAUGUGUUUUCGUCUCUUUUGAAGACACAAGAUUGACUGAUAGAUAUAAAUUAUACUUACAAUGUCAAGAACUAAACAAUCCAUUCAGACUUAGACGAUGUCGAUAAAGUCGAAGAUGACAUUUAACUAAACCCCUCGAAUCUGUGAAACAGGGUUCAUAAAACAAAAUUCUCUACAAGAUGUCUAGAUUAAUCAGGAACACAUCAUUCAAACAGACUUGUAUCAAACACAUAAAAAGUUAUUAGCAAGAAAAUUAAAUAAAAGGCUGACAAACAUCAAGCCAACACAGCAAUGGCGGAAGAAAAACAAUACCUGGCUAGCCGAGUGUAAAACAAUUGCUUAGACAAUUCAUUGCACUUCUCUACACUAGCGGGCUCCUGAAUGUAUUUCUUGUUCUGUUCCAGUAACUGUUUGUAGUAGGUAGUGCCAUGCUUAGACACAAACUUAGACGCUUGGCACGCUUUAGAUUGUAAUUGCAUUAAUUUGGACGCCAUCAGUUCCAAGAACCUGAAAUGAUGCAGUAAAAACAUUCAGAAUGGCAGGUCCUGCAAACCCUAGAAACUGGAAUACAAAAUCUCAUCUGCCUAAAUAUCCAUAAAAUCUCGCAGCCCAAAACCAUUCCAAAGAAGCUAUAGAAGCAAGAUACCCAGCGCCACAUGAUCGCAAGUUAAAACCAAAAGAAAUCAAGCGAAAACAUCAAAGAAAGAACGAAACCAAGGAUUGAACAAGAUCUGGAGAUUGAACAAAUCAUGUGCGAAUAGAAAUUGAGAUUGAGAGUACAACGAAUUGGUAACCUGAGGAACGAGGAGGAUAACUGAAGGAGGCGGUGGGUAAGGGGAAAACGAGUUACGGCGAUUGCUCGCGUCGCCUCUACCAGCUGUUCUGUGAGGAAUUGGGAUGGGACAGCUACACAGAGAACUAGGAACUAUAAUUUAAGGCAGUGCGGAAUGGGUCUAGUCGGCACCGUUCCAAUCUAAUGGUCUGAUAGAUUGGUAUAGAGAGAUGGUCUUGAUAGAUUAUGACCGUCGGAUUAGACGAUUUUUUGAUCAAAUUUCAUCCAACGGUUAAAAAUGAGUCAAACGAAUCGAUUUGAAUGAGAGUAGUUUCGGAAAACAAAAUUGGAAAAAAUCACAUAGGUGUGGUCAUUGUACAAGCAUGUUAUAUCGUUAAUACGACCACGUGACGGGCUCGUUAUGACGUUGUUACGUCCACCUUAUGAGUAGUUGAAUUCAUCAUCGUUAUGUCUAGUUUUUCACUUUUUUAUCUCGUGAUAAAUACACUUUACGAGUUUGUUAUGCAUUUUUAUCAUGUCCACAUUACGUUAUUAUCACAUCAUUGUUAUGUACACGUUAUAUGUAAAUUGUUAUAUCGACAUUACGCCAUUAUUACAUAAUUGUUAUGUCAUUAUUAUAUCCAAUUUACUUGAAAAGAGUAGAGAGGAGAGAGAAAGAAAAGUUGAACGAGAGAGAAUAUUUUUAAAAUUUUCGUUAUACUCCCAAUAAAAUUCCAACCGUCAUAUUGAAAUUGGCGAAACUGAUUUUGGACCGUUGAAUCUCUGUCUAGACAAUCCAAGAGAUUGGGCCUCUCGGGUCAUUAGCAAUUUUGCGUUCCAAUAAACCUUUUAAAAAAAAAGGAGACACUCAUUAUAAUUCUCAUAUAUGUGAUGUGACUCAGAGAAACGUACAAAAUGCCCAACAGGAGGUGCAGUCACCACAAAUCGAAGCUACAUGAGCCGCGGGUAUGUACAAACAUGACGACCUCGGUCCUUUCUCGUCAUAAUGGACACCAUGGCAAGGGAUUAAGGAACAUGAAGUUGUUCCUGCAACGCUACGGUAACAAACUAGCUAAAAGAAUACAAAACUAGUUCAAAAACAAACAAAAUAAAACCACAAUUCGAAACAAAAAUCUAGAAAAUUUGGAUAUGCACACAUAUUUAUUGGAAUUACCGAGAGAAGCUAGGUCUUGGUUGUCUAGUGCGUUCCGGUCAGUGUGAUAGAUUGGUCCCCAACGGACGGACCGGCUGCGGGUGAAGUGGCGGAGAUCUGACCAAAGUUCUUUGGUGAUUUUAUGGGCGGAUGUCCUGUGGUGUCCUCCGUGUGUCCAUGUGGUCCGAAGUAUAUGACAGUGGGGUUGUUUGGGGGCCUUUAGCGGCGAUUGCGUCAGCGGUAGCGAGACUGCUAGAGAGAAUGGUGGUCAUCGUGGUGGAAGUAGCUACGGUUGGGGAGGCGAUUUGGUGGCCGAGAUCCGACUUGCUAUAGUGGGGAGGCGGUUGCAGUGGUGGUGGGUGUGGUAGCCUUAGUGGCUGCGGUGGUGAUAAGGUUGCGGGAGUUGGGUGUUUGUGGCGGCAGCGAAAUAGGGUUUGGGUUUUUGGAACUCUCCUACGAGAGCUAACCUUGCAUCUUAGCAACUUAUAUAUUCGUUCCAAUAGACCUUUUAAUCAUCUUAAUUCUUAAAAAAAAUAACCUAACCUAUUCCGAUAAUACACGAUUUGCCGUAGCGCUUUCGUGCUGAAUCAAGAUGGCCGAGGAUUCUCCAAAGUGGCCCCAUCACUAACUUAAAUCCUAUUUCUCCUAUUUUUAUUUUCUUGUCAGUUUUAUUAAUUAGGAAAAUAGGUUUUAAUAAAGGAAAAGGUUUUGAUUUUACCAAUUCACAAGUGAUGAAGUCAAUUGAUAGUGAACAAAAGGUGUUUAAUGCAAUUUCUAGGUGCUUAAAAAUCCUUAAUGACACCACAAACACCAAGCAAGGGGUGCUAGUCACUAUAUGACACACCAAACAUCCCAAUCACUCAAGUUUGUCACUACCUAAGUGAUUAACGGAAUGCACUCUAAGUGUUCGAUGAAAUGUCACUAGAAAAUCCUCACACUAACGGUUGAAUUGGGGUGUGGCUUGGUUCAAACACACCUUACUUCAAUCAUGGAUUAACAACUAGCACAAUCCUAGGAAAAGUCAUGCAAAGGAGAGUAUUGAUUUGACCUAAUUCAAGACAUGGCACAAACUAGGUUGAAAAUAUUAUAAUCCAAGCACAACAUUAUCAUAAUAAGCAUCCAAGUGUAUCCAACCCCUCAUUAUGAGGGGAUCAUCCUUGUAACAACAUCAUCUCUAGCCUAGCAACAACACAAACUAACCUAUCAUUGCAAAACUCAAAGGAGAAAGAGGGGUUACAAACACCAUUUCUGACAUCUAGGUAAAAAAAGAGAAGAAAGGAGGAAAAAAGAAGGUAAGAAAAGAAAGGAAGAAAAAAGAGGGAAAGGGGGAGGAGCGCGGUGGCACCACCACCGCCGCCGCCAUCAAAAACAGAGGAGGAAAAGAAGGAGAAAGAAGGAGGAGAAGGGAGGAGAAGGAGUGGAAGAGAGAGGAAUGAAAAAAGGGGGAGGAGCGGUGGCGGCGGGGGCGCCGCGGCGCCGUCACCGCCACCACUGUCGGAGAAGGAGAGGAAGAGGGAGGUUAGAGAGAGGUUAGAGCAUUUUGAGAGAGGGAGGAGGAAGAGAGAGAGAGUUAGGGUUGGAAAUUGGUUAUUUUGAUUUAAAAGGGCUAUUUAUAUCAAUCAGGUAAGUUACGAUUUUGUCCCUAACUUUCUUUUUUGACAGAAAAAAUAUCUAAGGGUAUUUUCAUCUUUUAAGGUCUUGGGUCGGGUAAUGAGGGUCAGAUCUGUCAAUUCGCUAAGCCAUUUUGGCCUUCAUCCCCUCUUAUUUUGGUCCAAAUUCCAGUUGGGCCCAGCUCGAGUUGGAGCCCAAACAAAACUAUAGUUCAGCCCCUAUGUUUAAGUAUAUUUUAUUAGAGUGAAUUAUCUUAAUUAAUCUAAGAGUGAGAGAGAUUUACGUAAAACAAUGUAUAGGAUAAUAGUGCAAUUAGAGAAUUAAUUCCUCUGAUUGGAUUUGAUAUAUGGAAAUUAAAAUUGCAAAACAAAAGAACAUAAAACAAUCGAAUCCUCCAAAUAAUUAAUCGAAUUGAUAUGUUCUUUACUGAUGUUAUUAGAAUGAGAACUAAAUUAUCAAACCACUAAAAAUAUUUAUAACGUACUUAUUUGAAUAAAGGUUUGUUUCACGUUUGAUAAUGUGUAUCUAAUUGUUUCAAACUAAAUUAAUUAAUAAGAACCAACUAAGUUAUCUUUAAGCCAAAAAUAUAAAAAAACAAUUAUUCCAUGAAUAAUAAUCCUUUAAAAAUAUCAUAACAAUAUUGUAUAAAUUCUGUAUUCGGAGCAAGAGUUUCGAAUCCCGCAAAAAUUAUUGACUAAUUAACCCUCAACAAACAAUUGCCCAAAUGACAAACCCAUACUAAUUAAUUGACAAAAACCAAUUAACCUAUGACAUGUAGUUAAUAAAUCAAGAAAGUCAUAAUAACUUGAUAUCUAGAGCAAUAGUUCCGGGUCUCCUAAAAAUCAUCAAUUAGUCAAACGCUCGGUAAUUAUUCAAAUCGCUAACCAUUGCUAAUUUUCCAAAAUAAUACAAUUACGAAUCAAGAGAUUCGUUUCAAACGCGCAUAUCUCCUUCCUUGAUAAUUAUAUUCUCAAGUUAGUACCGCCGGCUUCAGAAUACCGAAACGCGGAGCACUCCUUAAAAAUCAUAUCAGCAAAACAAUCAGGUAAACGCUUCUCAAAUAUCAUAAAAGACGAACUAGGUAACGAGGAAUUUUACAGUAGUAAAAAUCCAGUGAAAUUCUCGACAACGCAAUCCGAAAACGCGGACUUUGAUCCCAAAAUAUUGGGUACGUAGGCAGCCGGGAAAGGCUCGAGUAAAAAUCACUAUCAUGAAAAUAAUUGGUCCAGUAACAUAUUUUUCGCAAGAGCGAAAAUCUGCAAAAACCUCAAAUAGUAGUGUAAGCUUUCUCAAGAGGGAAAAGUACAUAAAUCAACUAUCUUCAAAGAAAUCAUUUUAACUAAUAAAAUUAUAAAACACAAAACUCUUUCUUAAAUAAACAUAAAAUGAGAAUAGUAACAUUAGGCUUUACGCUAUUAAAGUCACUUGAAAUUCUUGACUUCUCCGAUAGUGAUUGUGAUGGAUGUCCGAAUUCUCACCGCUUCACUACUGGUUAUUGUGUCUACCUAGGAGAGUCCCUCAUUUUGCGGAAAUCAAAAAAUCAAACUACCAUAUCUCGUUCCUCCACGUAAGUCCAAUAUUAUGCCAUGGCUACGACCACUUGCAAGCUACACUGGCUUCGCUUCUUGUUUUACUUCACAUAACUAUUUCCUCGGUCAACUCUUUAUAUUGUGACAAUACUUCCGCCAUACGUUUUGCUAAGAAUCCUCUCGCUCAUAAACGAACUGAACACAUCGAGAUCGAUUGACAUCUCAUUCGCGAUUGUGUUACAUCCAAACUCAUUCGGGUCUUUCACGUCUCUCCCACUAAUCAACUCGUCGAUCUCAUGAAUAAACCUUUAGGUUCUCGCGUUUUCAUCGAUUUGGUCUCCAUCUUGAGGGGGGUGUUAGAAAUAUGAGAUAGGGGUAGUUUAAGUAUUCAGUCUAAAAUUGUAAUUACUAAUUACAAUUAUUUUACUAAUUCUUAUCAAUCAACCCCUUAAGACGAACAAAUCAUUAUCGGUCAUGAACUUUCCAUUUUACUGUAGAUGAUUAACAUCAAACAUAAUGUAGGUAUCUUCCUCUUCCGGGUGAUAUCUCGUUAAAAAACAAAAAGAACAUUCAAUAACUAAAUUGCUUAUGAUUUAAAAAUGAAGGAUCUCAAUUGAGAUAUUCCUUAGAAAGAACCAAAAUGAAGCCUCUAAAAUUUAGAAAAUUUAGAGGAUCAAAUUUUAUCCAAUAGAAAUGUAAGGACCACAAUCAACAUUUUCCACCUCCCCCACAAAAAAAAAUAGCACCUGCUUUUUUAUUUUUCUGGGCACACAAGUUUACCCCCGCGUUUUUGGUGGACAUUUACUGAGCACAAGAUGGAUCGGAUGGCUGAGGAUUGUCCUGGACAUCCUGGAUUCUAAACCGCUCCCGCAAUUUGGCUAAUUCGGGUUAAUAAAUAAGAAGACGAAAACUAGUUAAUUAUGAAACAAAAAAGUUAACUAUUAAGCAAUAAUAUUAUCGGUAAAUACCCAACAUUACAAGAGUAAGGUUUGCUAAAUCGCCAGAAUUAGUACAUAGCCGUUGGUGGAUCCGGUAAAAGUAGCUACCGUCACCGUCGGCGUUCACCUGAGAAGCUUAGGCCCUGCAUUUACACUAUUAUAGCCCAUAUCACGGUAUGAGCCCGGAACUACAACCGACGUCGAUGUAUUGGCUUCUAGAUCGUCCACUACUCCUUCACCGCCGAUCAUCAUUGGCAGGUCAUCUGUCUCCCUCAUCGCCCCAUGGGCAACGAACAACACUACCCCUGCGAAGAGUCCGACGACGAUGUCAUCCGUUACCUCCGUACAGAAAAGCACCAGCAUCGUGGCCGACAACAGCGAUGAGAGAAUAGUUUUCUGACCGACGACUUGGCCAUUAAUCACCAAGGGAUUGCCAUCUUCCCGAUGAAGGUAGAGGAAGAACCAAGCCGCGGCAAGGAGGAGGGAGACGACGAAGGAAAAGGGAUGCCAUAUCAAGGAGAUGAAGAGAGCACAGGAAGCGAGGAUGGCGUAAUUGCUGCGGAAGAAAGCAGCGUUGACGUUAAUUCUGUCGAGUGAUUGGUUUAAUGUGGAAGGGAAGGUAAGGGAUUGGGGUUGGAUCAUUAGCUUCCAUGGUUUUGCUGUGGCAAUGAGGUUUUCGAAGGUGGAUCUUAUACUUUGAAGAGAGAUUGACGAAAUUCCUGGGAGCGGCUGUGAUUGUGGAUGGGAUUGUAUUGUUCCGUAUCUCGUCAUUUCUCCCGAUCUGGGGGAGAAGGAAAUGCAGGCAAUGUGUUUGAUGAUUUGCCCAGUCGGGAAAAAGAAAUGAAUCUGAAACUAAAAAAAACAAAAAAAAGAGGAAGAGAAGAUAUAUAACAGAGGCAAUUUAGCUGUUGAAUUACAAGAAUCAUGACGAAAAAGAAAAAGGUAAUAAUAGCUUACAGAUAGAUUCUAUAACGAACGACACGCAUUUACUUGACAUAUACAGUCUGGAUUGGUAGGUUGGUGGCCGCUUUUGUACCGUCAAAUCCUUGAGGCUUCAACAAUAAUGUGUUAUAAAUAAAAGAAGAAGAAGAUGGAUUUUACGGAGGAGGAUUGUUCUUUGGAGCAGCAGCAACUGAAUCGAGAGUGAUUCCUCCUACGCCCUUGGGUGGACCAAUGCUGCAACGUUCUGUAUUGUGUGUCGCAAUCGCUGCUUUUAUCUUUUGAAACUGUAAAAUCAUCACGACAAGAUGAUCGACGAGGAUUCUUUGAUUUUCUGUUUUCAACCGUUAAAAUAGAGUUGAAAUAUGUAUAUAGCAAGUACUGACCUUAGCGAGUGAACAAGAGAAGGAUUCUAAUUGUCCUUCCGAACCCCGGUAGAAAUGGAAGAAAGGAAGGACUUUUACAUUCAAGCUUUUACACAUUGGCUUGUUUUCAUCGAAGUUCACCUUUAGGAAUACAAUCUCUGGGUGUUCUUGCGCAGUUUUGCACAGCUGCACAUCCAUUCAUACCACAACACAAGAAACACAGCUCAAGAAACAUCCAAUUAACUAGCAAGCAAACACCAAGACACUGAGGUGGUGAUCCAUAUUUGACAAAAUUUAGGGAAUAAGCUUUAGCUAUUAUACAUAUAAUUGAAGAGUAUAUGCAACAAACUGAAGCAAUCCUUACUUUCUCUGCUAUGAACACUGUUAUAAAUGCUUACAACACACACCUCGACAGCUAACACACCAUUACGCCUGAAAUUCCGGAAAUGCAACGAACUACAUGUAGGACAUAGUCCAGCUCACUCAACCUUUCAAUAUGAAUUUACGCAGAAAAACAAUUCUCAAGCUCUGCGUUAAACUUCUCUGCUGCUUUCUUUCUAAUUAAGCACUAGUUUUUCACACUACAACAUCGAACAGAAGCAGGAACUUCGAGUAUGAUAGCUUUCAAAUCUACAACAAGACCUUAGGAAACCAUGUGAAUAGACAGAAAAGUACCUUGGGGAACAAUGCUCGGCAGGAAGCGCACCAUGUUCCAUAAAAUUCAACAAUAACCAAUUUCUCUCCAGCUUCACUUAAGGCACUUAAGAAUUCUUCAGUUGAAUGAAUAUCAAUCAUAUUUGGUCCUGCAUUUCUCUCCCACCAUUUCGGCUGAUCAGUCUCAGUAAUCGUAGCAUGUACCUGAAACAAACUAUCAUCUCAGCAGCCACAGGAUCAUACAACAGAGCAGUACAUAAAAUCAAAUGCCCUUAGCUAAUCAAUUUCCUUUAGUUCUGCAUAUGUAGUUUAAUUAACUAACACACACAGUUCAUAUAAUACUGAACGGUCAUCAGCAGCUUAGAUUCAAAAUUGGAUGCAGUAUUCUAUUGAAGGCAGUAAAAUUAGAAAGAGUUUGGCUUUCCAAGCAAAGGCCAACUCCCAAUCUCUUCACGAUAGUAAGCAAGCAAUCACUUGAAAGAAACUGGGGCGGAAACCCCAUUUGAAGUAGAACCAAUUGCAAAGAAAUCCCAUACAUUAGAGGCCAAAAAUCUCGCACCUUUAAGCAGAGCAAAUGCCUCCGGGGAGAAAGAAGAAACCGAGAAACACCAGCAGAAGAGAUGAGCAAAACGGGGGCAGCCUUCCUAUCUGAAACUGCGCUCAAGGAUGAAAUAGACGGUUGGGAAGAGGAAUUCAAGCUCGGAGUUGUAAGCAGCGAGGAUGGAAGCCCAAAUGAUAGUAAUCGAAUAGCAUCUGCCAUUUUACCAAAGGCAAAACAAAAACCCUCACAGUAACCAAACUGGAUAAUCUACAAUCUAAGAAGCAAUCCUAAAAUCUUCCAAAUAAUCUGAAUCUUUAUUUGGACCGGAUAAGGUCGACGCAGGCAAAUAGCAACAGACGGUGAGAGACUGAGAGAAUACUAGAUUUAGAAGGAAAAAAGAAAAGCAAAAUGUUUAUGAAAAAACCAAGAUGCUAUCUGCAUCAACCAUCAAAUAAAAAAAUCGCUCUUAUUUACCUCGGUAGCCACAUUUUAAUAUGAAAUAACAAAUUUAGACAUCUACCUGUACAAAUUAUAAAUUUAAACAAUAAUGCAUCAUAUACUGCACGAAGCAUUUUGCAUUGCAGCAUAAUGCAUUAUUUGAAAAUCUUUGAAAAAGUAGUUGUUACUAACGAUCAUCAUGACUGACUUACUAGUAGUUGUUACUGAAUUACCUACACAACUAAUAAAAACCUAUUUACAAGGUAGUCAUUAGAGACUAAUUUCACCUUAAAAAUCAAUUUAUGUAUCCCUCCCAUCAUUCCCAUGCUCAACAUGUCAUCAAGCCAUAACCAUAAUGCACAAGUGAUGCGGUGAUCAUACCGUCAAGGACUUCUUCACCUUCAACGACGAUUAAGUCUACUAUCUUUGCAGAUCAUGGGAAAACCGAUGACCCUAAAUUUGGAGAAAUAUUUCUCAUGCCCGAUAUAGAUCUGUUGUGUUACCAAGAGAAGGUUGAGGUUGUGGCGUCCAUACAUACAUUGAAGCACGAAAUGAAUGCAACAAUGCAUGAAAAGCUAGCUAAAUUGAAAGUUAAGAAGGAAGGUGAGCGAGAUGUCAUUAUUAAGGAGAAUGAUAAUAUUAUCUUGACGAAGACUUUUGUAAUUGCAACGAUGGAGACUAAGUUAGAAGAAUAUUGUUUCCUACUUUUAUAGGGCGAAGACUAUGUUAGAUGUUGUUAGCCCUAAACGCCAUUGUUGAGCAUGUUUAUUUCUACCAAUUACACGAAAUGUAAUCGGCAUCCUUAAAUGUUUGAAAAGAAUAAAGAAUCUUGCAUACAAUAUGGAUAGCAGUAAAGAAGAAAAAAGCACUGGUUACGAGAUGUGUUGGGAUUCAUGUUUAAUCUUCAGCCGACGAGCAAGUCUUUUUGUUGCGCCCAAGAAGUCCGCAAAAGGCACAUAUUGUUUGCACAUUGGUCGGAAAAUUCGCUCUCGUGUAGCCCUCUUGCCCACACCUGCUACAAUAUGGCUCCACAUUUUCAACUCAGUCCAUUUCAUUAUUGAUACGAUCAUGUCUUGAUCUCCCUUGAGAACAAAGUCAUAGUGCGUUGGGGGGAUGAUCUUCCUUCCUGCAAUUUCUCAUACUUCUAGUUUACCAAUCAGACGGAAACUUGUUCCAUAAAUCCGAGUGACACUCGAAUUACAUAUUAAUAUACCUAUUUGCUUGUUCCAUAAAAAUGUGUUUAAACAUAGUACAUAUUAAUAUAUCUAUCUGAUUACUAUUAACUGUCCAACUAGACAUAAUAAUAAGGGAUAAUGACCCCACCUAUUGGGUUUUGACCCAAAAUAACACAACCUAUUAAAAAUAAUUAUUGUGACACGAAAUUCAAACUACUGUAUACUAAAUGUCAAGAUCCAAUGAUAUUGGCUGAAUUGACGAAAUUUUCAAUAUUAUAUCAUCUUUUUAGAGUAAUGCAUUUGGUUAGGUUAUUUGCUACUAAAUUUGAAUCCAACGCACCUCAUAUUGAACACUGCUAUUGUAUCAGGUCUAUUUUUGAAAAAAAAAACCGUUGAAAAAAGAAAUGUGAAGCCGUGAUAAAUUGUUCAUAUAAAACGCUCAAAUUCCAACAAAAACACAUUGAAUCUGACACUUUUGAAAUAUUACAAGCAUCUACAAAAAAACAAGGUUAAAGAUCUAGUGAGUAAGCUUUCGCAUGCAGUAAAACACAACGCCAGAUGAGCAACUCAAGAAAGGAGCAUUGCAAAUCAGGACCCGCUGACUUACUCUACUAUCCUCCUAUUGUCGAACCAGAAGCCAACACUUGUACGGAUUGUGCGGCCAUCUCCGAUAGAUAAAAUGUAAAAAGAGAGACGGCAUCUUGCAGAUGAUUUGAGCAUACAUCUUCAGGUACUGGAGCCUUGAGAACUGUAUCAAAGCAUUUCAACUGGCUGUCCCGUGACUCGCCCAAACUACUAAUUGAGAGCAGCAUCUCUGAGACAUCCUCUCCCAUCUUUGAGUAUGCAAUCCUGCAACACAGACCCAUGAAGGUGAGUAAGAAACGAAAUUGCAUGCUGAUGAAUAAUAUGAUAAGUCUUGGAUUACCGUUUCUACAUAUCCUAAUUACCUUAGAUUUACUUCCUAGAGUUAGUUUGGCAGUUAGCUCUUAUACGUUCUGUACAGUCAACUUAACACACGGAAUUGAUUUUCAACAAAACCCUACAUCUCAUCUCUAAAGGUUAACACAUACUGAGAGAGAAUGUAUGUUCACGAGAUGAUGAUCAAGCAUUGUCUGUGUCUCAAAAGAUCUAAGCAACUAAUUUCAUGCUCAGAACAAGUGUAUCCACUCAAAAUCCACUAUCUCUAAUAUCGUUCUUGAGAUGAUGAUCAUUGAAGAUCAUUUAUUCAAAGACAAUAUGAUGGCUCACACGUAUUGACAUAAAAAAUAUCUGAUUUUAUAUCGCACAUCAGUGACUACGUGA
rnacentral:lncRNA from 1 species